rnacentral:lncRNA from 1 species
CACCACUCGUAAUAACCAAAUUCACUCAGUUGGGAUAGGUGGGAGAUGGUGGUUUGUGGGGUGGCUUGUGGGGAGGAGUUGGAGGAGGCUUUAUUUUCUGAGGCGGCUUGUAUGAGUGUGCAGGAGGAUGCCCGGGAGUGUGACCAUAAUGUGGUGGCUUCUCUCCCGUAGGUGGUUUGCCAAAUGGGCUUGGUGGCUUCUCUCCCUUAGGAGGUUUACCAAUUGGGGUUGGUGGCUUGUGUUCUGGGAGUGGUUUCUCUCCCUUGGUAGGUUUGCCAAUUGGGGUUGGCGGCUUAUGUUCUGGGAGUGGCUUCUCUCCCUUGGGAGGUUUGCUAAUUGGGGUUGGCGGCUUAUGUUCUGGGGGCGGCUUCUCUCCCUUGGGAGGUUUGCCAAUUGGAGUUGGCGGCUUAUGUUCUGGGAGUGGCUUUUCUCCCUUGGGAGGCUUGCCAAUUGGGGUUGGCGGCUUAUGUUCUGGGGGUGGCUUCUCUCCUUUAGGAGGUUUGCCAAUUGGAGUCGGCGGCUUAUGUUCUGGAAGUGGCUUUUUUCCCUUGGGAGGUUUGCCAAUUGGGGUUGGCGGCUUAUGUUCUGGGGGUGGCUUCUCUCCCUUGGGAGGUUUGCCAAUUGGAGUCGGCGGCUUAUGUUCUGGGAGUGGCUUCUCUCCCUUGGGAGGUUUUGUUGGUGGCUUGUGUUCUGGAGAUGGCUUCUCCCCUGGAGGCUUGUGCUCCGGAGGUGGCUUCUGAAAUGGCGGGGGCUUGGGGUAAUGAGCAAGAGAUGGAGUACUGGUGAGAACCACCAUUCCAAGCAACAAUACUAGCAAGCAUGUGGGAGACAUCUUUGAGUAGUUGUAGCUAAGAUGGCGCAACACUGUAGGCAUUGGGUGGCCUUUUAUAAAGGGCUGGACCCAACAGCCAUAUGACACGUGUCAUGAUGACAAAUGAAGUUGAGGGGAUCCAGAUGGGUCCUACUGAGUCGAAAACUUGCACUAAUUGAUCUGGUGAGAUGACUAUUUCUGUCCUUUUGCCCUUCUCGGCCACCCUGUGCUGUUUUCCUUUUGCACGAUUUUCGUUGCCAAACAAGCAAAUAAUAUUUCGCCAAGAAAGAGGAGAGUGAAUGUGGAAUGCAUCAAGUCCCAUCAAGGAUGGCAGAGAAGAAAUAGAAGAUUGCCCAACUGUGAUAAACAUAGCAUACACGUAGCACCAGGAACUUCAUUUACUUCCAUCUAAUGGAACAUAACAAUCUUCUAAAGUUUUUGCAUGAUUUUGUUAUAUGUCUCUUAGCCUAAAGUUGGAAAUGCGCAACAAAUUUUGUCACUUCUCUAUUUCCCACUGAUGAUGUUAAUUAGCCUUCAUAGAUAUCAUCCUUUCUACAAAGUGCUUCAUUUGUGUGUUAUUGUAAAGUGUAAGAAAAGUAAUUGAACAUGUUCUUUUUCCUUUCAUAGAUGACUUUUGAUGUGCAUUUUAAAAGCAGCGCUGUGAGUCGGUGACCUUGAUUCACACGGAAACUAAGGCUCCUAUAGGACCCACUUUUAGCUGGUUAGGGGUGAAGAAAAUAUCAACUUUUCAGAGUGAUUUAAGUCAAGGCCAAGCCUCACUGUGUCAUUACUCGUGUGAAUUUUAUAUGCACAUACAUACAUAAAUAAAGUAUGAGACCCAAAUAACACCUUCCCUUUACAAACUUAACCCCAGCCGCUCUCUUUCAAUUCUUUUCACACAAGGGUAUUGACUCUAUAAAGGUCAAGAAAAUCAUAAUUUCCUAGGGUUUACAAGGUAAUUGGCUUAAUGCUAAUGUGAAAACAUAAAAGAUAAUAGUAUAUUGUAAGCUAACGAAUAUUCUAUAGUUAUAAUUAUUUGUGAUGUGCAUAAAUAAAUCUUCAUAUAUAUAAUGGAACAAUGAAUAAAGAACCAAUGAAAAAAUACUAUAUAUCAUUGCUUGGCAUUUAAACCGUAUAUGCUGCUCUUUCUAGCUACUCCAUCCACUGAAAGACAACAAGGUAAUCCAUGUUAUAAUGAUAGAAGAUACUGUCUCUAGGCUUUUUGUGAUGAAAAAUAUAAGAUAUGGGUAGGGUUGACCCUUGUAUGUUUGUCCUAUAAACACUUCAAAGUAACAUAUUUUUCUUCUUUAGCAACUCAUAAUGAUGGGGUUCAUUUGCAUGUCACUGAGUUGAAAAGUUGGACAAUUGCCCAUGUCGCCUUCCUCCUAGAUUCCGUAGUUCACGGGAAGGUAACUCAAGUUUGACAUAUUUUGAAUUCUUUUCACUCGGACGUCUUCAUAACCUGACAAAACAAAAAUGAAAAACAGAGGAUUGGUAUAUUAUUCAUGGUAAGCCUCAAAUUAUAGUAGUAUGAGAAAGGAGAAAAAGAUUUUGGGAACUCCAAUCUGGAUAAUUCUCGUUUCUUCUCUUGAAUAAAAAUUUCACUUACCUAACUUCGUUUGGAGAAAUGGCAUAUUUUAAUUUUGUACGUCAUUGCUAAUAAAUGGAGCAAUUUAGCAUGUUUUGUGACUGAAACUGCAAAUGUCCAAUUGGCAUUUCUUCAUUUCCCACUUAGGAUCUGAUCUUGUAGACCAUAUAACGAUAUGUAUCUGUGCAAGCAUUGAAAACUAAUGUGAACUAUGAGGAGUUACAAGCCACUGGACUGUAGAGCGAGUGCCAAGAUUUAAAUCUUCAGGCUCUAUCUGGGUAAGGGGAGGAUAGCGACCUAACCUUUUACCAAAGGCUUAGAAUUUAGACUUUUGGAAAAAAAUUUCUCAUGUUUUGGCUGGAUUUCUUGUGCUUGGCGCAAAAAGGAGAUGGCCUCAAGAAAUAGCAGACUCACUUUUGUUUUCAGCCCUUAAUAAUUCUCCACUGCUUUCCAUAACUACAUGGGUUAUACAUGCAGUCUGCUGCAAUAUUCCAGUUAUAUUUAUUAUUUCAAAGAGGGUGAAUGACUUCACAUGCAAUAUGUUGCAGUAACAACCCAAAUUUUGGCACACCAUCUUAAGAAUAGAAAAGUAUAAUAAAAGAAAUCAAUCAGAGAAUCACUUUGCAUGCAGUUCAUAGAGUUCGCCCAAAAUGGAGCCACAUGUACGGACAACCCCACAAUAGACAAUCUUCUCUAUACAGUAAUAAAAUACAGAAAUGGUUAAUGAAGCUCUGUAUUUCCUUAUCAUAUAUGACCGGUUGAAAACUCAGCAAGUCUUCCUCAAUCACAGACAGUUGGAGUUGCUUCAUCAAAAUCAUGCCUUCAUUACUGGCUUCAUUUUGGUUUCAAUGUCUGUUCUACCCUUAAAUUGGGUCUCUGCUUACUACCGGGAUAUCCUUUAGCGUCCUGCAAUUCUACUAGAUUAAAGAGAAUGACUUAAUUCUGCAUUCUGCCGUCCCUAGUCCAAGUGGUACUAGAAUUGAUGUUUCCUUUAGUGUCCUUUCUUCAUACUUUCAGGUUCUUCCCUUGUUUCAAUAAUGCUGUUUUCCUUCAUGUUUAACCUCUGUUGAACCACUUAAAACAACACAAUUUGCACACCAAUGUUUCUUUACAGAAAAGACUGUUUGCAAAAAUGCACAUGUUAUAAGGUUAAUGGAAGAAUUAAUUUGGGGAUAAGGGACUAGGAUUGGGCCAAUGAAGUUUGGUGUUAAAUUUUGAUUAUGAUUGCUUUUCAUUAUCAGGUACCUUAUAUUUGCUGAUGCUAUCUGGAACUAAAUUCAAAUCAGACAUUAUCCGAUUACUAACAGGACAUAUCAUGUCCCUCUGCAGAGUUUCUAAACUAACAUGUAUCGAAAUGUGGCCCCAAAAGGAAGGCUAGGAAGAUGGAGGAUUUUGUAGGAAUCGACCAGAAUCAGAUGGAAGAGAGAUAGUCCUGUUGACUUUAAUGGUUGUGAUAGGAACAUGCAUCAUUAUAUGAGAAGUUGCAUGAAUUUAUGUAUCCUGUUAUCGUUCCUUGACGAUUUCCCAAUGCAAUUUCACUGUCCACAAGACUAACCUCUCCAUGCAGUCAAAUGAAUUGUAAUUUCUCUAUUGGUACCAGUAGUACAUUUCAUACCAAACAUAUAGUAAAUAUAAAAUAUAAAUAGAUCAAGGAAAUCUGAAUUGUAGAUAGCACUGCAAGUAACACUCAAUAUUCUCUAUAUAUAAUAAAAUAAACAGUGUCACAAUACUCAUCACCCAGUGGCAAGGGAGAAAAACCUACAAUGAGUACUCAAAUCACCAUUCUCAAACAGAAACAUAGCAGUGACUGAUACAUAGAACCUAUAUGCUCACAGGGAAAGAAUAAGAUGACCAGUGCACAGCGGGCAGCAGCUCUUAUUUUACGUACAACUCAAAUCCCAAACUAACCAAAGUCGCUCAGUUGGGAUGGGUGGGAGAUGGUGGUUUGUGGGAUGGCUUCUGGGUAGGAGCUGGUGGCUUCUGUCCCUUUGGUGGUUUGCCUAAUGAGCUUGGUGGCUUGUGCUCCGGGAGUUGUUUCUCUCCCUCGAGUAGGUUUCGAGUCUUGUCAGAUGGCUUGUGUUCUGGUGGUGGCUUCUCUCCCUGGGGUGGUUUGCCGAAUGGGCUUGGUGGCUUGUGUUCGGGGAGUGGCUUCUCUCCCUGGAGAAGGUUACGAGUUUUGUCAUAUGGCUUUUGUUCUGGUGGUGGCUUCUCUCCCUGGGGUGGUUUGCCGAAUGGGCUUGGUGGCUUGUGUUCGGGGAGUGGCUUCUCUCCCUGGAGAAGGUUACGAGUUUUGUCAGAUGGCUUGUGUUCUGGUGGUGGCUUCUCUCCCUGGGGUGGUUUGCCGAAUGGGCUUGGUGGCUUGUGUUCGGGGAGUGGCUUCUCUCCCUGGAGAAGGUUACGAGUUUUGUCAGAUGGCUUUUGUUCUGGUGGCGGCUUCUCUCCCUGGGGUGGUUUGCCAAAUGGGCUUGGUGGCUUGUGUUCGGGAACUGGCUUCUCUCCCUUGGGAGGUUCAGUUGGUGGCUGCUGUUCCGUAGGUGGUUUCUUCACCGGCGGCUUGUGCUCCGGAAGCGGCUUCUCUACCUGGAGAAGCUUACGAGUUUUGUCCGAUGGCUUGUGUUGUGGUGGUGGCUUCUCUCCCUGGGGUGGUUUGCCAAAUGGAGUUGGUGGCUUGUGUUCGGGGAGUGGCUUCUCUCCAUUGGGAGGUUUAGUUGGUGAUUGGUGUUCCGUAGGUGGUUUCUGAAGUGGGGGAUGCUUGGGGUAGUCAGCAAGAGACGAGGUAGUGAGAACCACCAGUCCCAGCAGCAACACUAGCAAGCAUGUGGAAGACAUCUUUGAGUUCAGGCUGAGAUCUGUGCAAGGAUAACAGAAUUAGGUGGCCUUUUAUAGAGGCCUGGACCCAACACCCAUAUGACACGUGUCAUGCACUCAUGGUGACACAUAAUUCUAUGGGACCAUUUGGGUCCUACAGAAGUUGCAAAGUUGGACUACUGAGGUGUGAUCACAACUUUUGUCCUUAUUGCUUUCUCUGCGGCCAUUGCACGAUUUCCUUUAGCAUCAUUUUCUUGGCUAAAUAAGCGUAUUAUAUUUGUGGCAGACCGUCCACGUGUCAUAAACAGAUAUAUUAUAAUAAUGUAGUAUGCUUUUCUCCAAUGGAACAUGACACUCUUCUAAGUCUUGUUUUAAAUAUUGUGCAGGAUUACUUUAUACGUUGCAGUUCCAAGUCAAAAUUGGUGGGCAAACGUUGGCCUUUUUUCAUUUCACCUAAGAUUAAUGCUCACCUGGGAUAGGCACUACAUGACUUAUCUGCUCUUUUACUGUAAAGUUGCUUUGUGUAUGAGAUACACCUCCCCUGCACACCCUCAACAUUCGUUGCUCUGUUUUCCUUGUGUCCAGACGAGGAUAUUAAUUGGAGGCUGACAAAACGACUGCUAGCCCAGGAUUUACAAGGUCCUGGUUUGAGGCUUCGGUGAAAGUAUUUUUGAAAAGACACACAUAGAGAUAGUGCGUUUGGUGCAAUGCAGCACUGUGAGCCAUUCUGACGCGUUCUUAAUUUCAAAACUAAUGAAUGCUUCAAAAUUUUAAGAAGUGACAUUUCCAAAUAUUUGAGUUCGUUUAAUUGAACAUUGGAUAACUAGUGAUCAUAGAUUAUUAUCUGUGCUUGGCACUAUAAGAGGGUAUAUGCUUCUUUUUCUGGCCCCUCCUUCAAGGGAGGAGGGACAAUGUGAUCUGUAACGUUAGAAGCUAUUCCAUGUCAUCUUUGGGCUCAGUUCAAAACUAAAAGAUAAUGGGGGGGGGGGGGGGGGGCAUAUCAUUUUAUAUUUCUUCUAGAAGGUUUGUUCUGGAAAUAUUUCACAGGAGCAUAUCUUUUUCUUCUAUUACGUCAUCCGCAGCCUCCAAUAGGUCGGUUAACAAGCCACCGAGUUGAAAAGUUGGAAAAAUGGGAACACAGCCCGCCUCUUGUAUUCAGUAGUUAAAUAAAAGGUCACUAGAAGUGAGAUCCCUUUUGGCGUCUUGAUUUUCAAUCCAGCACCUCUGUGACCUGACAAACCAAAAAAACUAAAAAAUAAAAAACAGUACGUGGGUUGGUGUUAAGCAUCAAGACAUGUUAAUGAAAGAAGGUAGAGAAUAGGAUAUUGAAAUCCCAAUCCUGAUAACAUGAUUUUCUUUGCUAACAACCAUAUUAUAUUUUAUCAAGAAAGAGUAAUGCAUGUGGCGUCCAUCAAGACCCAUUAGAGUUCCGCUAAAGCUAUAGUUCUGUCAACGUUAUCAUUUACGUUUCCUCUAGAUAAUGGCAUUUUCCUCUAAAGCUCUUGCACCAUUAGGCUUCAAGUCAAAAUUUCACAUGUGAACUUUGGAAAUUUUCUCCAUUUGCCCCUAAGGAUACAGUUAGAAUUGACUUAAAAUCCUGAUUGAUAUGUACUAUUAACCAAAGAAUAUUGUAUAUAAUAAUUGAAAUAUUGUUGAUUCAUCGUGGAAAUACAUUUUGUAAGGAAAGUUGUUGAGAAUUUAGUAUGCUAUAUGGAGAAAAAAGUCAUGACUUAAGGUUGUGUAUGUAUAUUCUAUAUCAAAUAUUAGGUAGGAAUGUGGGAAAGAGCAGAGUGUAAUGAUAAGAAACAAAGAAAUAUAAGAUAUUCUUGAAAGUGGAAAAUAUAAAAUGGCUAACGAGUCAAAUUUAUGAUGCGUAAGGGGGAUCAUGUCACAUAAGAAAACCAUGGCAUACUAAAGACGUACGUGUGGUAUGGAGUAAUAAUUUUGUUAAAAUAAGUUUCUUGUUGGAGUACAUUAGGUGACUAUUCAUAACGUAUCAAAUUAAAGAGUCAAGUGCAUCAAUGAAGGCAUAUGUAGAAAAUUUGUUUGUGACAUGUACCAUAAAGAUAAGAUUGACUUGAUAGAAUUUAGUCUAAGUAGGAGUUGUUAAAGGUGUCUUAAAUUUCUAAUUGAUGUAUAUUUUUUUCUAAAAAAAUAUUAUAUAGAUAUUUUAAUAAAUGAUUAAUUCUUUGUAAAAAUACUUACAUAAUAAAAAACAUCAUUAAAAAUAUCUUUAUAAAUAUUUUAAGUUACAAGAAGGAAAAAAACCACUGUGAGAUAAUGAUGAACAUGCAACACUGUACCAAGUAAAUAAAAAUGUGAUAAAAAAAAAAGAGAAACACUCGAUAAAGGAAGGCUCGUAUAUAAAGAGUAAUAUUUUUAAUCAUAUGAUAGAAUGAUUUUCUCUCAUUCAUGAAUAUAGGCAAGAUUGGGGAACCAUUAUAAAAUUUUGUACACCUCGUGUAAAUUGAUGUUUGUCUUCAUAUUUUACACCAACAAAUGACAUUGAAGUUGUCAUUGAUAAAAGGGAAAAGGCAUGCCUCCACACCAUGUGCUUGAUUCGAAUGGUUCAAGUUUGAAGAAUUUUCUCCGGAAGAUCUAAAACAUUUUCGCCUUUAAAUUUCAUUUGAUUAUUAAUAUCCGAAAAAAUAGUUAAAUACUCUUUCUAUUUUUGAGUUGUUGAAUUUUUUGAAAGUUUUUAUAUUUGUUAUCAAGAAUUUCUAUUUUAUUAAGGGUGAAUAUUUAUAAAUAAGAUAUUAUAUAAUAUUUGGAUAAGAGAGAAUGGUGGAAUAUAAUAAAGUUUUAAUCCUUCCCAAUUUUGAACCUUUUUUUUUUUUUUUGAUAUAAUCGCCUUUCUCUUGCAAUCCUAUUAUCAGGUACCUUAUAUUUGCUGAUGCUAUCUGGAACUAAAUUCCAAUCAGGCAUUGUCCAAUUACUAAUAGGACAGAUCAUAUCUCUCUGUUUCUAAACUAACAUGUAUCGUAAUGUGACCUCAUAAGGAAGGCUAGGAAGAUGGAGGAUUUUGUGGGAAGCGACCAGAAUCAGAUGGAAGAGAGAUAGCCCUGUUGACCUAAUGGCUGUAAUAGGAGAAGCGUGUGGUUUUAUGGGACUUAACUGAUACUAAACCUGUAUGAUGCUUGGAGUGGUGUUUCUUUCAUUUUGUUAAGAAAAUAUGGCAGCAUACAUGCUUUCAACUGAGUGCAUCAGAGCAUCCAUAACAGAUGGUCUGCAACCCUAGGUGCAUGCCACUUUCUGACUGAUAAUGAAAUUGUCAGGUACCUGGCCUUGACUAAGCUCAACAGCAUCACAUAAAGAGAAGCUUUCAUACUUAGAUUACUGUUUAAAGUUUUUGCUUAUUUGAUUUCUUAAUGCCAUUAUGACAUUAUUGAUUCAAUUCUGCUUCCGAUUUUCGAAGUUCUGGGCAUCUACUGAUUGCAUCAUUAUAUGAGAAGUUGCAUGAGUUUAUGUAUCCUGUUAUUGUUCCUUUGCGAUUUCACUGCUCACGGGACUAACCUCUCCAUUCAGUCGAAAUGAAUUGUAAUUUCUUUACUGGUAGCAGUAGUACUUUUCAUAGCAAAGAUAAUAGAAAAUAUGAAAUAUAAAUAGAAGGAAAUCUGGAUUGUAGAUAGCACCAUAAGUAACACUCAAUAUUCACUACAUAAUAAAUAGACAGUGUUACAUAGGUAGAGAAACCUACAAUGAGUACUCAUCACCAUUCUCAAACAGAAACAUAGCAGCGACUUAUACAUAGAACCUAUAGGCUCGCAGGGAAAGAGUAACAUGAUAAGUUCACAGCGGGUAGCAGCUCUUAUUUUACGUAUUACUCAAAAUCUCAAACUAACCAAAGUCACUCAGUUGGGAUGGGUAGGAGAUGGUGGUUUGUGGGGUGGCUUCUGGGUAGGAGCUGGUGGCUUCUUUGUUGGAGUUGAAGGAGGCAUAUUCUUCUGAGGUGGCUUGUAUGACUCUUCGGCACUCUCUGCAGGAGGGUGCCCAGGGUUGUGACCAGAAGGAGGUGGCUUCUGUCCCUUUGGUGGUUUGCCUAAUGGGCUUGGUGGCUUGUGCUCCGGGAGUUGUUUCUCUCCCUCGAGUAGGUUUCGAGUUUUGUCAGAUGGCUUGUGUUCUGGUGGUGGCUUCUCUCCCUGGGGUGGUUUGCCGAAUGGGCUUGGUGGCUUGUGUUCGGGGAGUGGCUUCUCUCCCUGGAGAAGGUUACGAGUUUUGUCAGAUGGCUUUUGUUCUGGUGGCGGCUUCUCUCCCUGGGGUGGUUUGCCAAAUGGGCUUGGUGGCUUGUGUUCGGGAACUGGCUUCUCUCCCUUGGGAGGUUCAUUUGGUGGCUGGUGUUCCGUAGGUGGUUCCUUCACCGGCGGCUUGUGCUCCGGAAGCGGCUUCUCUACCUGGAGAAGCUUACGAGUUUUGUCAGAUGGCUUGUGUUGUGGUGGUGGCUUCUCUCCCGGGGGUGGUUUGCCAAAUGGACUUGGUGGCUUGUGUUCGGGGAGUGGCUUCUCUCCAUGGGGAGGUUUAGUUGGUGGUUGGUGUUGCGUAGGUGGUUUCUGAAGUGGGGGAUGCUUGGGGUAGUCAGCAAUAGACGAGGUAGUGAGAACCACCAGUCCCAACAGCAACACUAGCAAGGAUGUUGAAGACAUCUUUGAGUUCAGGCUGAGAUCUGUGCAAGGAUAAAAGAUUUAGGUGGCCUUUUAUAGAGGGCUGGACCCAACACCCAUAUGACACGUGUCAUGCACUCAUGGUGACACAUAAUUCUAUGGGACCAUUUGGGUCCUACAGAAGUUGCAAAGUUGGACUAUUGAGGUGUGAUCACAACUUUUGUCCUACUUGCUUUCUCUGCGGCCAUUGCACGAUUUCCUUUAGCAUCAUUUUCUUGUCUAAAUAAGCGUAUUAUAUUUGUGGCAGACCGUCCACGUGUCAUAAACAGAUAUAUUAUAAUAAUGUAGUAUGCUUUUCUUCAACGGAACUUGACACUCUUCUAAGUCUUGUUUUAAAUACUGUGCAGGAUUACGUCAUAAGUUGCUUGUUCCAAGUCAAAAUUGGUGGGCAAACGUUGGCCUUUUUUCAUUUUCCCUAAUAUUAAUGCUCACCUGGGAUAGGCACUACAUGAUUUAUCUGCUCUUUUACUGUGAAGUUGCUUUGUGCAUGAGUUACACCUCCCCUGCACACCCUCAACAUUUGUUGCUCUGUUUUUCUUGUGUCCAGACGAGGAUAUUAAUUGGAGGCUGACAAAACGACUGCUAGCCAAGGAUUUACAAGGUCCUGGUUUGAGGCUUUCACGAAAGUAUUUUUGAAAAGAUACACAUAGAGAUUGCGCGUUCGGUGCAAUGCAACAAUGUGAGCCAUUCUGAAGUCUUAAAUUUCAGAUUAAUGAAUGCUACAAAAUUCUAAGAAGGGCCGUUUCCAAAUAUUUGAGUUCAUUCAUCCGAACAUCGGGUAUAUGCUUCUUUCUCUAGCCCCUCCUUGAAGGGAGGAGGGACAAUGUGAUCUGUAUCGUUAGAAGCUAUUCCAUGUCGUCAUCUUUGGGCUCAGUUCAAUACUAAAAGAUAUGGGCGGGGCCCUUAUCAUUUUAUAUUUCUUCUAGAAGGUUUAUUCUGGAAAUCUUUCACAGAAACAUAUCUUUUUCUUCUCUACGUGAUCCGUGGUUUGAAAGUUGGAAAAAUGGGUCCGUUAACAAGCCACCGAGUUGAAAAGUUGGAAAAAUGGCAACACCGCCAACCUCUUGUAUUCGAUAGUUAAAUAAAAGGUCACUGGAAGUGAGAUCCCUUUUGGCCUCUUGAUUUUCAUUCCAGCAUCUCUAUGGCCUGAUAAAUUAAAAAACUAAAAAAAAAGACAGUACGUGGGUUGGUGUUAAGCAUCAAGAGUCAAGACAUGAUAAUGGAGAGAAAGGAUAUUCAAAUUCCAGUUCUGACAACAUGAUUUUCUUUGCUGAACUACCAUAUUAUAUUUGAUCAAGAAAGAGUAGUGCAUGUGGCCAGGAUCAAGACAUACAUUAAUUUCCACAUGAUGAAGACAGUUUCUGAGAGUUUCUUCUAAAGCUCUUGCGCGAGUAGGCUUCAAGUCAAAAUCUCCCAUGUAAACACUGGUUUUUCUUUCAUUGCCACUAAGGAUGCAGUUAAUAUUGACUUAAGAUCCUACGUGAUAUAUUUUUUUAAAAGAGCUAUAUUGUAGAUAAUAUUUGAAAUAAUGUUGAUUCGUUGUGGAAAUAUAUUUGUAAGGAAAGUUGUUGACAAUUUAAUAUAGUAUAAGAAGAAAAAAGUUAUCAACUAGCUAGAGAUGAGUAUGUAAAGUGAGGCUCACGAUUCAACGCGUAAAUAUAAGAUAUUUUAAGGCUCAAUAGUUAUGAUAUCUAUUUUAUUUUUUGUAUCUCAUAUAUUCAAAGAUAUAGUAAAAUGAUUUUACAUAUAUAUAUAUAUAUAUAUAUGAACAUAACUAUUUGUGCCAAUUGAUUUUUAUCUUUAUUUUGUAUAUUAGUAAUUAUAUUAAAGUUUUUACUAAUAUAAUAACUAAUAUAAAAGCUUUUUCUAAAAGAGUCAACAGAGCAAAACACUUAUUAUAAAAAAUAAUUUUGAUUGAAGGUGGAGUCAAUUAUUCUUUAUUUAACAUGUAAUGCAUACGGCGUGUACUUCAUAACUAAAGUAUAUAAGUGUAACAUCUCUUAUAUAUUCUCAUUCAAUCUCGAAAGUGGAAAUUUUAAAAAGAUUAAACGGUUCAAAUUUGUCGUGCAUAAAGGGGAUCAUGUCACAUAAGCAAACCAUGGCAUACCAAAGACAUAGGUAUGGACUAAGAAUUUUUUUCAAAUAAGUUUCUUAUUAGGGUACAUUAAUAGGUGACUUUUUAUGACAUAUCAAAGGAGUCAAGUGCACCAAUAAAAACAUAUAUAGAAAAUUCAUGCAUGACAUGUAUCACUAAGAGAAGAUUGACUUGAUAGAGUUUAAUCCAAAUAGGAGAUUGUUAAAAGGUGUCUCAAAUUCUUGAUUGAUAUAUAUUUUUUUUAUUAAAAAGGUUAUUAUAUAGAUAUUUCAAUAGACUAUUAAUUCUUUGUAAAAAUAGUUAUAUAAUGAGGAUGGUGAUUAAAAAUAUCUCUAUCAAUAUUUUGGAUUAUAAAAAGAAAAAAAAUGAGAUAAUGAUAAACAUAUAAAACUUGUACAAGUAGAUAAAGAUGUGAUGAAAGACACUUGAUGAAUGAAGGCUUUGUAUUUCAAGAUAUAAAUAUAUGGAGCAAAACUCUUAAUUAUAUGAUCAAAUGAUUCUCUCAUAUUCAUGAAUAUAAGCAGGAUUGGGGAACCAUGAUAGAAUCUUAUAUGCCUCUCCAUGUAGAGUGAUCGAUGUUUAUCUUCAUAUUUUACACCAGUGAAUGACAUUGAAACUCUUAUUGAUAAAAGGGAAAAGGCAUGGCCUCCACCCCAAGAAAAACAAGUAACCUCGGUUUAAAUCACUAGUCUACACCCCGAAGAGAGAACUAGCCAAACCUACUAAAAGAGAAACUUAACAAUUUAGAAAGAAACCGUCCAUGAUAAAGGGCCCCUAAAGGUCCAAUUCAGUGAGGUCGUGAACAAAAACACUUUCAUGUCAAAACAGAGAUAGGUACCACCAAAAUGUAAAGGGAAAGAUGUAAACCACGUCGAACUUUGGUAAUCAAUGGUAAAGAUAGCAUGAUAGCUAAAAGCACUAAAGCUGUGCUUGGUAUGCAAAAAUGAAAAGUGGAAAUCAGCGUCUUAUUCUUUUUCACCUUUAUUCACAUAUUAGGAUAACUAAUAUCUAAUGUUUUUUAUGUCUCAAAUUCUAUUCCAUGUUAUGGUAAACUUUCAUCUUGUUUAGAUCACUUUUGUCUGGUUUGGGCUCAAGACGAUAAGCCUAUAGAGACUUCAUAUUGGGUUGAAUCGAUGCCCUUGAUCUGAUCUGUUCGUUAGAAAAAUCUGAAUUAUUAUAAGCAUUUAGAUAAAAAAUAAAUAAAUGUGAAACACAAACUACUCCCUGCACAACCUUGACCCUAGUUACUCAGUUUCACUGCUCACAGGACUAACCUCUCCAUUCAGUCGAAAUGAAUUGUAACAAGAAGAUUUUUGACAGGAGGACGGUAGUUUAAAAUAAUAAUUUCUAAAGUACUUUUGUGAAAAAAAAUAAUUCCAAACGUGGAUUUUAUCAAGUAAAAAGAAAAAAAAAAGUUAUUUUCUUUUAAAAUCUGUUCUUCUAAAGAUGAUAUAUAUACCAAAAAAAAAAAUUGUUUUCUGAAGGUAAAAUUUUUAAAAUUCAUUUUUAAAAAAAUUUACACACUAAAAUUAUCUUUUCAAGAGAAGAUUUUUUUAAUUUUAAAUAAUUAUUAAUUUAUAAUUAAUUUGUUAUUAAUUAUUUAUUAAUUUUUUUAUUUGAAAAAUGCAUUUAUAAAAAACAAAUUUGUUAUUAAUUUAUUAAAUAAUUUUUACAAAAUAAAUAAUUUUUUUUUAUUUUAAUUUUAAAAUUAAUUUUAUUAUAUAAAUUUUAAAAUUAAAAAUAUUAAUAUUUAAUUUAAAAUUUAACUAUAAAAGGAAUAAAAUAUAGAAAAAUAAAUUAAUUUAUUAUUCAAUAAAUUAAUUUUCAAUAAAAUUUUCAGCAUUAAGAGAUAAAUUUUUAAGUAUUAAUCAAUUUAAAAAGAAAUAAUGAUCAUUUGUAUAUUAAGAUAUUUUAUUUAGUAAUUAUGAAUGAUAAACAACUAAAGUAAUUUGAAAAAAUAAUAAAAUAUUUAAAAAAUAAUAAUUUAAUACACGUAAAAUUAGAAAUGAUUAACUAUUUUUUAUUAAGAAAAAAUUGAGGAAAUAUUUUGUUAUUUAAAAUUUUUUAUUUGUUUUCAAUUUUUAAUGUUAUAGGUUUCAAGAAAAUUGAUCAAAUAAAAAUUAAGAAGUCAUUUUUUCAAAAACUAUAUAUCUAAAUAAAAGCCUUGAAAUUCAAAUACACAAUAUCAUAAAUAUAAACACCAAGUCAAUCCUUAAUUAUCAAAUGUUUUUAAUAUUAAAGAAUCAAAAUCACCUACUAUCAUGAUAAUAAGAAAACCAAUAAUAUUGUUCAUAUAAAUACUAAAAAGCUAACAAAUAUCCCAAACAAUUAAUAAAGUAUCAAACAUGAUAAAAAGUCAAUUAUUAUCAUGAAUGCAAAAAAUCAAUAAUUUUGUUUAUAUGAACCAUCAACAAAGAAAAAAAAAAUCAAUAUCUAAAUAUUAAACAUAAUUUAUAUUUUUAUAAAUAUUAUUGUUGAUAAAUAUCUUAACAAUUAUAAUUUUAGUAAAUAAAAUUAAUUAAUUUUAGUUUAAGAAUUAUUUUUUUAUACUUUCGUAUUCUUAUCAAAAAUCCCCAUUUUGCAUGUCUCCUUUGGCAUGACUUUCUUACCUAAACAAGCAUAUAUAUAUAUAUAUAUAUAUAAAAUAUUUGGUUAAGAAAGAGUACUAAAGUUUAUAUGGCACACAUCAAGAUAGAAACAGAAGUGGAAGAUAAUCCAAAUGUAUGAACAGAUAUAUUAUAUCCAUGUAGUGGUAGUGACUUCAUUAUUUACUUUUAUCUAAUGGAGCAUGACACACUUCUUCUGAAUAUUUUGCACGAUUAUGUUAUGUGUCAGCUUGUUCUAAGUCAAAACUAGUGAUAAAAAUCGGUUUUUUUUGCAUUUCCUUCAUGAAGAUGGCACCUGGAUGGGGCACUACAUGAGUGGCAUAGCACGAAGUGAUUUAUCUGCUCCCUUUACUAUAAAGUGCUUUGUGUAUAAGUUACACCUCCCCUGCACUGCCUCAACAUUUGUUGUUCUGUCUUCCGUCUGUCCAAACGAGGACAAACGUAUGUUGUAGGUUGACAAAACCACAGCUAGCCUAGGAUUUGCAAGGAUCUAGUUUGAUUCGUAUGCAAAAGGAUUGGUGAAAAGAUUCACAAAGAUAAUGCUUUUUGCAAUGCAAUCUUGUUCUAAUUCAACAGUGUGGACCAUUUUCAUGUAAUGCUUCAACUAGAUGUCAGUUUCAUGAAUUUUUGUUCAUCUAAUUGAUCACUGGAUAGGCCAUAACCCGAAGAAAUUCAAAAUUCCCUUCAGUACUGUAGCUAAGGAAAGAUCCCUAUCUACCACUGGGAUUUUAAGAGGGUAAAAAUGUAGGUGGGUGCCUAUAUCAUUUGCACUUCACUAUAGGCCUCUUUGGGAAGAUUUCUUCUGAAGACAUUUCAAAGAAACAUAUUUUUCUCUUCUCUCCGUAAACGGCAGCUGCAAGUCAGUCCAUUCACAGGCCACCGAGUUGAAAAGGCUGGAAAAUUGGCCAAAGCACCCGCCUCCUGGAUUCCAUGGGUAAGGAAAAGGUCACUGGAGGUGUGAUCCCUGUUGGCCUCUUGAUUUCCAUUCCGCCAUCUAUAUGACCUGAUAACCCAAAAACACAGAAGGAAAACGUCACCUGGGUUCAUAGUAAGCAUCAAGUCAUGAUAGAGACCAGACAACAUGACCAACAAAGAGUAGCGAAUGGGGCCAACAUCAAGCCCCAUUACGGUUAGAAGAUGGAAGAAGUAGAAGACAAUCCAAUUCUGAUAGAUUCGGGCAAAUGUAGUGCUGUUCAAACUUAAUCAUUUACUAUUUCUUCAUGAAUCACGGCAUUUUUCUUCUGAAAAUUUUCCAAGAUUAGGCCUCUGAAGAAAAAUUUCAUAUGUAAAUUGGUAUAUUAAGGAAAAGGCGUUACAAAGGUGAAAAAAAACCAAUCAAAUCUUAUAUAUGACAUCUCAAAAAUAUGAACUUGCUAUAAAUAUUUAAAAUCAAAAUCUUGCACAUCACCUCGUAGUACGAACUUGCUAUAAAACUUGAAAAUCAAGAAGAAAGGGGCAGUAUUGGACGAGACUACUUAGCACAUAUUAUUAUGAUGUUUUUUCAUUUUCUUAAUGUUGUUUUUAUGUCUUAAAUUCUAUUAUUCUAUGUUACGGUAAACAUUCAUCUUGUUUGUGUGGAAUAGGAUCACUUUUCUCUGGGUUGAGUCGAUGCCCUUAGUUAAUUUGUUCAUUUGAAUAAACUAAAUUAUUAUAAGUAUUUAGAUAAGAAAAACGUGAUACAUAAAUUACGCCUCUCGGCACAACUUCAACACUGGUUACUCUGUUUCAGUUUCCUCACACAAGAUUAUUGGUUCUAGGGUUUAUUUGGUUUUGGUUUGAUUCUAAUUGCUAAACUUUCUCAAGGAAGAUGUUAUAUAGGGAGUGAGAAACCUUCACUCUUGGCUACCUCCAAGAGAAGAGCAAGUGGUCUGAAUCAAAGAUAUACUGCUCACUUUUUCUUCUUCUAAGGACAGCUAUGACCUUGCUUUAAGGUUCGAAUAGCCUAAUGCAACCUCCCAUUUCUCAAGUCAGCUGAUGAUGUAAGUCACCUUGGCUUUCCACAUUCAUACGGUGAGGACGUUUGUGGGUGUAAUUCUCUUAACAGUUUUCAUUUUAUAUGGAAAAAUUCAUAAUUAAGGGUAAUUACUGAUUCCAUUUGACAGUGACCAAGUUUAAAAUAUUAAUUCAUAUAUUAAAUGCACAUUAAAAAAUCAUGGAAUAAAUAUAUUUACUAAUAUAUAGUUCUUUUGCCAUGUUCUGUCACAGAAGCAUCGAACUUUCCCUAGAAAUUUUUGCAUGGUAUUCUACUUAUGAUUUUGAAAACUCUAGGCACCUGAGGCCACUAAUUGCAUGGUUGGAUGAGGAGCUGCAUGAGAUUAUGUAUCGUGUUGUUCCUUAACUACAAAUAUCAGUUUUAAGUAGCAUCUCCAUGUGACAUUUUCCUGAUGCAAUUUCGCUGUCCACCAACAAAUUUCACCAUGCAGCAAGAUGAAUUGUAAUUUCUUUAUUGUUAUCAACAGCUUUAAUUAAUCUUGAUAUAUAUAUAUAACUUAGUAGAAGUAUAUUAAUCUAGAUUGUAGUUGCACUAAGAUAAUAGGCAAUAUUAUAACAGUGCCACAAUGCUCAUCGCCAAAUAGAAAGGUAGAAAAACUACAAUGAGUAACUCACAACAUUCUCAAACAGGACAUAGCGGCGACUGAUACAUAGAACACUAUUGGCACUCAGGAAAUGAUAAGAUCAGUGCCCAGCAGGCAGCACGUCUUAUUUUACAUACUACUUAAAACUAACCAAAGUCAUUCAGUUGGGAUGGGUGGGAGAUGGUGGUUUGUGCGGUGGCUUUUGGGUAGUUGGUGGCUUCUUUCCUGGAACUGAUGGUUUUUUUGUUGGAGUUGAAGGAGGCUUAAUCGUCUGAGGUGGCUUGUAUGAGUCUUCAGCACUCUCUGCGGGAGGGUGCCCAGGGUUGUGACCAUAAUGGGGUGGCUUCUCUCCCUUAGUUGGUUUGCCAAGUGGGCUGGCUGGCUUGUGCUCCGGGAGCGGCUUCUCUCCCUUAGGUGGUUUGCCAAAUGGGCUUGCUGGCUUGUGCUCUGGGAGCGGCUUCUCUCCCUCAAGAAGUUUACGGGUUUUGUCAGAUGGCUUGUGUUCUGGUGGUGGCUUCUCUCCUUGGGGUGGUUUGCCAAAUGGACUUGGUGGCUUGUGUUCGGGGAGUGGCUCCUCUCCCUUGGGAGGUUUAGUUGGUGGCUGGUGUUCCAUAGGUGGUUUCUCAACCGGGGGCUUGUUCUCCGUUGGUGGUUUAUGAACUGGGGGAUGCUUGGGGUAGUCAGCAAGAGACGGGGUGGUGAGAACCACCAGUCCCAGCAGCAACACUAGCAAGUAUGUGGAAGAGUACAUCUUUGAGUUCAGGCUGAGAUUUGUGCGAGACUUGAAGAAUUAGGUGGCCUUUUAUAGCUGGCUGCACCCAACACUCACAUGACACGUAUCAUGGUGACACAUGUGCUAUGGGUCCAUUUGGGUCCUACAGAAGCUGAAAACUUUUGACUAUUGAGGUGUGGUCACAACUUUUGUCCCUAUUGCUUUCUCCGCAACCGUUUUACAUGUUUCCUUUGGCAUAAUUUUCUAAGCUAAACAAGCAUAUAUCAUAUUUGGUUAAGAAAGAGUAAAGUGUAUAUGGCACACAUCAAGGAAGAGAAACAGAAAAAGUGGGAGACAAUCAAUUGUGAUAAACAGAUAUAUUAUAUUCAUGUAGUACUAGUGACUUUAUCAUUUACUUUUAUCCAAUAGAUCAUCACUCUUUCUUCUAAAUAUUUUGGAGGAUAAUGGUACAUGUUGCUUGUUUCCAAGUCAAAAUUGGUGGCAAAAAUCGGCAUGAUACGAAAGGAUUGGUGAAAAGAUUCACAUAGAUGGUGCUUUGUGCAAUGCAGUCUUGCUCUAAUUCAACAGAGUGGACCAUGGUGAUGUAUUUUAAAUUUUAAAUUUUAAAUUAAUGCAUGCUUCAAAGUUUUAACUAGAUGUCACUUCCAUGGAUUUUUGUUCAUUUAAUUGAGCACAGGAUAGGCUAUCAAACUUGAAGUAAUAUAAAAAUCCCUUCAUUACUGUAACUAAUGAAAGAUCAUUAUCUGCGCUUGGUAUUUUGCCAAGGUAUUUGCUGCUCUUUCUAGCCCUGUCUUACAGUUAAGGACAAUGUGAUCUAGUUAACCUUAGAAGCUAUUCCAUGUCAGAUACAAGAGAUCAAGCACAUUAUCUUUGGGCUCAGUUCAAAACUAUAAUAUAUGGGUGGGGUGGAGGCCCAUAUCAUUUGCAUAUCACCACUAUUGGUUUAGUUUGGAAGGUUUCUUCUGGAAGAUUGCUGCUUUCUGGAAUCAUUUCAAAGAAAUAUAUCUUUUUGUUCUCUUGGUGACGAGCAGCGGCAAUCAAGUCUGUUGACAAACAACCGAGUUGAAAAGUUUGAAAAUUGGUCACAGCCCACGUCCAUGGUUAAGGAAAAGGUCACUGGAAGUGAUCCCUUCUGGGCCUCUUGAUUUCCAUUCUGACAUCUAUAUGACCUGAUAAAUAGAAAGAAAAAAAAACAGAAGAAAAGCGGCACCCGGGUUCAUAGUAAGCAUCAAGACAGGAUACUGAAAGAAGGGAGAAAGGAGAUUGCAAGUCCAAUCCUGAUAAAAUGAUCAACAAAGAGUAUCAAAAUGGGGCCAACAUAAAGACCCAUUGAGGUUAGCAGAUGGCAUGGCAUUUUUCUCCUUAAGUUUUCCAUGAUUAGACUUGAAGUCAAAAUUUCACAUGUAAAUUUGUAUUUCUACAUUUCCCACUGACGACACCCAACUUCAACUUGAGUUAGAAUAACAUUGUGUGAACUUAUCUGGCCCUCAAAAUUUACUGUGAAGUGCUUUCUGCGUGUGAAGAUUCAGAAAAGCACCAAGGGAACAUGUAUGGUCUGCCUUUUUCUGAUGUUAUGUUUGUCUCUAAUUCUGUUCCAUGUCAUGGUAAAUGUUCACAUUGCUUGUAUGGAACACACCAGGAUCACUUUUUCGGGUUUAUUUUGAGGCUUCAUAUUGGGUUCAUAUUGGGUUCAAUGCUUUUAAUGUGUUCAUUAGACAAAUCUGAAUUAUCAUAUGCAUUUAGAUAAGAACAAUAAUGUGAAACCCUAGUUACACCUCCCCUGCAUAACCCCAACCCUGCUUACUCUAUUUCAGUUUACUCACACAAGUUUUACCGGUUCUUAUAAGUCAAGAAAAGGCAACUGAUGUUGGAUUGACUCUCUUCCAUGUAUAAAAAGCAACUUUUAUAUAUACAUAAAAUAACUUCUUCCCCUCACCAAUGUGGGAUAUCAUGGAUUUAUUCUGGAAACACAUCAAAGGAACAUCUUUUCUCUUGGGUGACCCUAAGUGGUGAGUCAGACCAUUUGCAUGCCAUUGAGUUGCACAGUUGGAUAAAUGCACCUACCUCCUGGGCUCCAGAGUUAAAAGGGUGGAUCCCUGGAUCGCAACCCUCUUGGCAUCUUGGUUUCCAUUCCAACAUCCACAUGACUUGACAAAACAAAAAACAGAAUAAAAUCAUCACUAUUUUCAUGCUAAGCACCAAUACAUGAUGGAAAUCAUUGCUUAAAGAUUUGGGGUCAUUUAGGUUUUGACUGCCUCCUAACACCUCACCUAAUCACAAGUUUUUAUGCUUACAAAUCAAAUAUCGUUCUUCAUUAUAUUAAAAUCAUUUUAAGAUUUCAGAUCCAUCUGCUAAUUAUGAUUAUGAUAACAUUAAUUCACCUGUGCUUCUCAUUUUCGACACACAAGGCAUCUAGGUUUGCAGGAUUUCCUUAUUAGAUGAGAUAAAUGAGUACGCAUGGUUAUGUAUGCAGCAUUCAUUAACCAUGGUAUGUGACAUUUAGAAUUAAGAUAGCAAGCAAACUUUCCCUGCAGCUUGAGUAAAUUGUGAUUUCUUAGCCUCUAUGAGUGGUUCCCAAAUCAAAUUAACAUAGUGAAAUAUACGUAGUCCAGUGAAAGGAAAUGUAAAUUAUAAACUAACAGCACUACACUACUGGUAACACUCGAUACUCUCUAUAUAAUGCAAUGAAAUAUACGUUAUACGUUGCUUGUUCCAAGUCAAAAUUUGUGGCCAAACGUUGGCCUUUUUUCAUUUUCCCUAAGAUUAAUGCUCACCUGGGAUAGGCACUACAUGAUUUAUCUGCUCUUUUACUGUAAAGUUGCUUUGUGUAUGAGUUACACCUCCCCUGCACACCCUCAACAUUUGUUGCUCUGUUUUCCUUGUGUCCAGACGAGGAUAUUAAGUGGGGGCUGACAAAACGACUGCUAGCCAAGGAUUUACAAGGUCCUGGUUUGACGCUUCCGCGAAAGUAUUUUUGAAAAUAUACACAUAGAGAUUGCGCGUUCGGUGCAAUGCAACAAUGUGAGCCAUUCUGAAGUUUUUAAUUUCAGAUUAAUGAAUGCUACAAAAUUCUAAGAAGGGCCGUUUCCAAAUAUUUGAGUUCAUUUAUCCGAACAUCGGAUAAGUAAUGAUCAUAGAUUAUUAUUAUUAUCUGACGUUCUUAUAAUGGUUGGCAUUAUAAGAGGGUAUAUGCUUCUUUCUCUAGCCCCUCCUUCAAGGGAGGGACAAUGUGAUCUGUAUCGUUAGAAGCUAUUCCAUGUCGUCAUCUUUUGGCUUAAGUCAAUACUAAAAUAUAUGGGCGGGGCCCCUGUCAUUUUAUAUUUCUUCUAGAAGGUUUGUUCUGGAAAUCUUUCACCGAAACAUAUCUUUUUCUUCUCUACGUGAUCCGUGGUUGGAAAGUUAGAAAAAUGGGUCCGUUCACAAGCCACCGAGUUGAAAAGUUGGAAAAAUGGCAACACCGCCAACCUCUUGUAUUCGAUAGUUAAAUAAAAGGUCACUGGAAGUGAGAUCCCUUUUGGCCUCUUGAUUUUCAUCCCAGCAUCUCUAUGUCCUGAUAAACUAAAAAACUAAAAAAAAAACAGUACGUGGGUUGGUGUUAAGCAUCAAGAGUCAAGACAUGAUAAUGGAGAGAAAGGAUAUUCAAAUUCCAGUUCUGACAACAUGAUUUUCUUUCCUGAACAACCAUGUUAUAUUUGAUCAAGAAAGAGUAGUGCAUGUGGCCAGGAUCAAGACAUACAUUAAUUUCCACAUGAUGAAGACAGUUUCUGAGAGUUUCUUCUAAAGCUCUUGCGCUAGUAGGCUUCAAGUCAAAAUUUCCCAUGUAAACACUGGAUUUUCUUUAAUUGCCACUAAGGAUACAGUUAAAAUUGACUUAAAAUCCUACGUGAUAUAUAUCUUUAACAAAAGUAUAUUGUAUAUAAUAUUUGAAAUAAUGUUGAUUCGUUGUGGAAAUAUGUUUGUAAGGAAAGUUGUUGACAAUUUAAUAUAGUAUAAGAAGAAAAAAGUUAUCAACUAGAGAUGAGUAUGUAAAGUGAGGCUCACGAUUCAACGCGUAAAUAUAAGAUAUUUUAAGGCUCAAUAGUUAUGAUAUCUAUUUUAUUUUUUGUAUCCCAUAUAUUCAAAGAUACAGUAAAAUGAUUUUAUAUAUAUGAACAUAGCCGAUAGUAUCAUGUUAAAACCUUAUAUGACUCUUUGUGCCAAUUGAUUUUUAUCUUUAUUUUGUGUAUUAGUAAUUAGUAUUAAAGUUUUUACUAACAUAAUAAUUGAUAUAAAAGCUUUUUCCAAAAGAGUCAAACAGAGCAAAACACUUAUUAUAAAAAGAAUUUUGAUUGAAGGUGGAGUCAAUUAUUCUUUAUUCAACAUGUGAUGCAUACAGCGGGUACUUCAUAACUAAAGUAUAUAAGUGCAACAUCUCUUAUACAUUCUCAUUCAAUCUCGAAAGUGGAAAAUUUUAAAAGAUUAAAUGGUUCAAAUUUUCCGUGCAUAAAGGGGAUCAUGUCACAUAACCAAACCAUGGCAUACCAAAGCCAUGAUAUGGACUAAGAAUUUUGUUAAAAUAAGUUUCUUAUUAGGGCACAUUAUGUGACUAUUUAUGACAUAUCAAAGGAGUCAAGUGCAUCAAUAAAGACAUAGAAAAUUCAUGCAUCACAUGUACCACUAAGAGAAAAUUGACUUGAUAGAGUUUAGUCCAAAUAGGAGAUUGUUAAAAGGUGCAUCAAAUUCUUGAUUGAUAUAUAUUUUUUUUAUUAGAAAGGUUAUUAUAUAGAUAUUUCAAUAGACUAUUAAUCCUUUGUAAAAAUAGUUAUAUAAUGAGGAUGGUGAUUAAAAAUAUCUCUAUCAAUAUUUUGGAUUAUAAAAAGAAAAAAAAUAUGAGAAAAUGAUAAACAUAUAAAACUUGUACAAGUAGAUAGAGAUGUGAUGAAAGACACUUGAUGAAUGGAGGCCUUGUAUUUCAAGAUGUAAAUAUAUGGAGCAAAACUCUUAAUUAUAUGAUCAAAUGAUUCUCUCAUAUUCAUGAACAUAAGCAGGAUUGGGGAACCAUGAUAGAAUCUUAUAUGCCUCUCCAUGUAGAUUGAUCGAUGUUUAUCUUCAUAUUUUACACCAAUGAAUGACAUUGAAACUCUGAUUGAUAAAAGGGAAAAAGCAUGGCCUCCACCACAAGAAAAACAAGUAACCUCGGUCUAAAUCACUAGUCUACACCCCGAAGAGAGAACUAGCCAAACCUACUAAAAGAGAAACUUACCAAUUUAGAAAGAAAUCUUCCAUGAUAAAGGGCCCCUAAAAGUCCAAUUCAGUCAGGUUGUGAACAAAAACACCUUCAUGUCAAAACAGGAAUAGGUACCACCAAAAUGUAAAGGGAAAGAUGUAAACCAAGUCGAACUUUGGUAAACAAUGGUAAAGAUAGCAUGAUAGCUAAAAGCACUAAAGCUGUGCUUGGUAUGCAAAAAUGAAAAGUGGAAAUCAGCGUCUUAUUCUUUUUCUCCUUUAUUCACAUAUUAGGAUAACUAAUAUCUAAUGUUUUUUUUAUGUCUCAAAUUCUAUUCCAUGUUAUGGUAAACUUUCAUCUUGUUUAAGUGGAAGAGUAGGAUCACUUUUGUCUGGUUUGGGCUCAAGACGAUAAGCCUAUAGAGACUUCAUAUUGGGUUGAAUUGAUGCCCUUGAUCCGAUCAGUUCGUUAGAAAAAUCUGAAUUAUUAUAAGCAUUUAGAUAAAAUAAAUAAAUAAAUGUGAAACAGAGACUAUUCUCUGCACAACCUUGACCCUAGUUACUCAGUUUCACUGCUCACGGGACUAACCUCUCCAUUCAGUCGAAAUGAAUUGUAAUUUCUUUACUGGUAGCAGUAGUACUUUUCAUAGCAAAGAUAAUAGUAAAUAUGAAAUAUAAAUAUAUAGAAGGAAAUCUGGAUUGUAGAUAGCACCAUAAGUAACACUCAAUAUUUACUACAUAAUAAAAGAGAUAGUGUUACAAAGGUAGAGAAACCUACAAUGAGUACUCAUCACCAUUCUCAAACAGAAACAUAGCAGUGACUUAUACAUAGAACCUAUAGGCUCGCAGGGAAAGAGUAACAUGAUAAGUGCACAGCGGGUAGCAGCUCUUAUUUUACGUAUUACUCAAAAUCUCAAACUAACCAAAGUCACUCAGUUGGGAUGGGUAGGAGAUGGUGGUUUGUGGGGUGGCUUCUGGGUAGGAGCUGGUGGCUUCUUUGUUGGAGUUGAAGGAGGCGUAAUCUUCUGAGGUGGCUUGUAUGAGUCUUUGGCACUCUCUGCAGGAGGGUGCCCAGGGUUGUGACCGGAAGGAGGUGGCUUCUGUCCCUUUGGUGGUUUGCCUAAUGGGCUUGGUGGCUUGUGCUCCGGGAGUUGUUUCUCUCCCUCGAGUAGGUUUCGAGUUUUGUCAGAUGGCUUGUGUUCUGGUGGUGGCUUCUCUCCCUGGGGUGGUUUGCCGAAUGGGCUUGGUGGCUUGUGUUCGGGGAGUGGCUUCUCUCCCUUGGCAGGUUCAGUUGGUGGCUGGUGCUCCGUAGGUGGUUUCUUCACCGCCGGCUUCUCUCCCUGGAGAAGGUUACGAGUUUUGUCAGAUGGCUUCUGUUCUGGUGGCGGCUUCUCUCCCUGGGGUGGUUUGCCAAAUGGGCUUGGUGGCUUGUGUUCGGGAACUGGCUUCUCUCCCUUGGCAGGUUCAGUUAGUGGCUGGUGUUCCGUAGGUGGUUUCUUCACCGGCGGCUUGUGCUCCGGAAGCGGCUUCUCUACCUGGAGAAGCUUACGAGUUUUGUCAGAUGGCUUGUGUUGUGGUGGUGGCUUCUCUCCCUGGGGUGGUUUGCCAAAUGGACUUGGUGGCUUGUGUUCGGGGAGUGGCUUCUCUCCAUUGGGAGGUUUAGUUGGUGGUUGGUGUUCCGUAGGUGGUUUCUGAAGUGGGGGAUGCUUGGGGUAGUCAGCAAGAGACGAGGUAGUGAGAACCACCAGUCCCAGCAGCAAUACUAGCAAGGAUGUGGAAGACAUCUUUGAGUUCAGGCUGAGAUUUGUGCAAGGCUAGAAGAAUUAGGUGGCCUUUUAUAGCGGGCUGGACCCAACAACCAAAUGACACGUAUCAUGAUACACAUAUGUGUUAUAAGAUCCUUGUGGGUCCUACAGAAGUUGAAAACUUUGACAAUUGAGGUGUGAUUACAACUUUUGUCCCUAUUGCUUUCUCGUCAGCCGUUUUGCAAGAUUUUUGACAGGAGGACGGUAGUUUAAAAUAAUAAUUUCUAAAGUACUUUUGUGAAAAAAAAUAAUUCCAAACGUGGAUUUUAUCAAGUAAAAAAAACAAAAAAAAGUUAUUUUCUUUUAAAAUCUUUUCUUCAUGAUUCAUAUACCAAAAAAAGAAUUGUUUUCUGUAGGUAAAAUUUUUAAAAUUCAUUUUUAAAAAAAAAAAAUUACACACUAAAAUUAUCUCUUCAAGAAAAUAUUUUUUAAAUUUUAAAUAAUUAUUAAUUUAUAAUUAAUUUUUUAUUAAUUAUUUAUUAAAUUUAUAUGUGAAAAAUGCAUUUAUAAAAAACAAAUUUUUUAUUAAUUUAUUAAAUAAUUAUUUACAAAAUAAAUAAUUUUGCUUUAUUUUAAUUUUAAAAUUAAUUUUAUUAUAUAAAUUUUAAAAUUAAAAAUAUUAAUAUUUAAUUUAAAAUUUAACUAUAAAAGGAAUAAAAUAUAGAAAAAUAAAUUAAUUUAUUAUUCAAUAAAUUAAUUUUCAAUAAAAUUUUCAGCAUUAAGAGAUAAAUUUUUAAGUAUUAAUCAAUUUAAAAAAUAAUAAUAAUCAUUUGUAUACUAAGAUAUUUUAUUUAGUAAUUAUGAAUGAUAAACAACUAAAGUAAUUUGAAAAAAUAAUAAAAUAUUUAAAAAUAAUAAUUUAAUACACUUAAAAUUAGAAAUGAUUAACUAUUUUUUAUUAAGAAAAAAUUGAAGAAAUAUUUUGUUAUUUAAAAUUUUUUAUUUGUUUUCAAUUUUAAAUGUUAUAGGUUUCAAGAAAAUUGAUCAAAUAAAAAUUAAGAAGUCAUUUUUUCAAAAACUAUAUAUCUAAAUAAAAGCCUUGAAAUUCAAAUACACAAUAUCAUAAAUAUAAACACCAAGUCAAUCCUUAAUUAUCAAAUGUUUUUAAUAUUAAAGAAUCAAAAUCACCUACUAUCAUGAUAAUAAGAAAACCAAUAAUAUUGUUCAUAUAAAUACUAAAAAGCUAACAAAUAUCCCAAACAAUUAAUAAAGUAUCAAACAUGAUAAAAAGUCAAUUAUUAUCAUGAAUGCAAAAAAUCAAUAAUUUUGUUUAUAUGAACCAUCAACAAAGAAAAAAAAAAUCAAUAUCUAAAUAUUAAACAUAAUUUAUAUUUUUAUAAAUAUUAUUGUUGAUAAAUAUCUUAAUAAUUAUAAUUUUUUAUAUAUUAAAUUUAGUAAAUAAAAUUAAUUAAUUUUAUAAUAUAAGAUAUAUAUAAUAAUUAAGAGACUAUUUGUCCCAAACAAUUUAUUUAUUUUUUUUUUAGGAAAUUGUCUCUUCAAGAGACGACUUCUCCCAACAUUUUUAAAAAAAAAAAAAAAAACAUCUAUUCAAAAGACGAUUUCUCCUCAUUUUUUAAAAAUGAAUUUUAGAAAUCAUAUUUUCAAAAAUGAAUUUUAGAAAUCAUAUUUUCAAAAGACGAUUUUUUUUUAUAUAAAUUAUUUUUUAAAAUGACGAUUUUAAAAGGAAAUAACGAUCUCUCUCCUACUUGGCAAAAACUAUGGUAAAUUUGGAAUUAUUUCUUCCACAACCAUAGUUUAAGAAUUAUUUUUUUAUACUUUCGUAGACUUAUCAAAAAUCCCUAUUUUGCAUGUCUCAUUUGGCAUGACUUUCUUACCUAAACAAGCAUAUAUAUAUAUAUAUAUAUAUAUAUCACUUUUGUCUGGGUUGAGUCAAUGCCCUUAACUAAUUUGUUCAUUUGAAUAGUCUAAAUUAUUAUAAGCUUUUAGUUAAGAAAAAUGUGAAACAUAAAUUACACCUCUCGGCACAACUUCGACACUGGUUACUCUGUUUCAGUUUAUUCACACAAGAUUAUUGGUUCUAGGGUUUAUUUGGUUUUGGUUUGAUUCUAAUUGCUAAACUUUCUCAAGGAAGAUGUUAUAUAGGGAGUGAGAAACCUUCACUCCUGGCUACCUCCAAGAGAAGAGCAAGUGGUCUGAAUCAAAGAUAUACUGCUCACUUUUUCUUCUUCUAAGGACAGCUAUGACCUUGCUUUAAAAUGUUCGAAUAGCCUAAUGCAACCUCCCAUUUCUCAAGUCAGCUGAUGAUGUAAGUCACCUUGGCUUUCCACAUUCAUACGGUGAGGACGUUUGUGGGUGUAAUUCUCUUAACAGUUUUCAUUUUAUAUGGAAAAAUUCAUAAUUAAGGGUAAUUACUGAUUCCAUUUGACAGUGACCAAGUUUAAAAUAUUAACUCAUGUAUUAAAUGCACAUUAAAAAAUCAUGGAAUAAAUAUAUUUACUAAUAUAUAGUUCUUUUGUCAUGUUCUGUCACAGAAGCAUCGAACUUUCCCUAGAAAUUUUUGCAUGGUAUUCUGCUUAUGAUUUUGAAAACUCUAGGCACCUAAGGCCACUGAUUGCAUGGUUGGAUGAGGAGCUGCAUGAGAUUAUGUAUCCUGUUGCUCCUUAACUACAAAUAUCAGUUUUAAGUAGCAUCUCCAUGUGACAUUUUCCUGAUGCAAUUUCGCUGUCCACCAACAAAUGUCUCCAUGCAGCUAGAUGAAUUGUAAUUUCUUUGUUGUUAUCAACAGCUUUAAUUAAUCUUGAUAUAUAUAUAACUUAGUAGAAGUAAUUAAUCUAGAUUGUAGUUGCACUAAGAUAAUAGGCAAUAUUAUAACAGUGCCACAAUGCUCAUCGCCAAAUAGAAAGGUAGAAAAACUACAAUGAGUAACUCACACAACAUUCUCAAACAGGACAUAGCGGCGACUGAUACAUAGAACACUAUUGGCACUCAGGAAAUGAUAAGAUCAGUGCCCAGCAGGCAGCACGUCUUAUUUUACAUACUACUUAAAACUAACCAAAGUCAUUCAGUUGGGAUGGGUGGGAGAUGGUGGUUUGUGCGGUGGCUUCUUUCCUGGAACUGGUGGUUUUUUUGUUGGAGUUGAAGGAGGCUUAAUCGUCUGAGGUGGCUUGUAUGAGUCUUCAGCACUCUCUGCAAGAGGGUGCCCAGGGUUGUGACCAUAAUGAGGUGGCUUCUCUCCCUUAGGUGGUUUGCCAAGUGGGCUGGCUGGCUUGUGCUCCGGGAGCGGCUUCUCUCCCUUAGGUGGUUUGCCAAAUGGGCUUGCUGGCUUGUGCUCUGGGAGCGGCUUCUCUCCCCCAAGAAGUUUGCGGGUUUUGUCAGAUGGCUUGUGUUCUGGUGGUGGCUUCUCUCCUUGGGGUGGUUUGCCAAAUGGACUUGGUGGCUUGUGUUCGGGGAGUGGCUCCUCUCCCUUGGGAGGUUUAGUUGGUGGCUGGUGUUCCGUAGGUGGUUUCUCAACCGGGGGCUGGUGCUCCGUAGGUGGUUUAUGAACUGGGGGAUGCUUGGGGUAGUCAGCAAGAGACGGGGUGGUGAGAACCACCAGUCCCAGCAGCAACACUAGCAAGUAUGUGGAUGACAUCUUUGAGUUCAGGCUGAGAUUUGUGCAAGACUAGAAGAAUUAGGUGGCCUUUUAUAGCUGGCUGCACCCAACACUCACAUGACACGUAUCACGGUGACACAUGUGCUAUGGGAUCCAUUUGGGUCCUACAGAAGUUGAAAACUUUUGACUAUUGAGGUGUGAUCACAACUUUUGUCCCUAUUGCUUUCUCCGCAACCGUUUUACAUGUUUCCUUUGUGGUGUUUAAUAGUGUUUUUUUCCUUAAUUCUAAAUAAACCUUAAUACUUAAUAAUGUUAAAUAUUAGGUUAUUUAUUUUUAUAAUAUUUUAUUUAUAUUAAGUAUUAAAAAGUAAAGAAAAAUCAAUAUAUUUAUUUUUCUAUUUAGAAAAAACUAUAUAUUUUUAAUUUUUUUAUUUAAUAAAAAAUUUAUAAUAAAUCAUGAAAAAAUAGAAAAACAAACAACCUAAAUUUUAAAAAUAAAUUGUUUUUAGUAAAAACCCAAAAAAACAAACACCACCUUAACUAAACAAAUAUAUAUUAUAUUUAGUUAAGAAAGAGUAAAGUGUAUAUGGCUCAAAUCAAGGAAGAGAAACAGAAUAAGUGGAAGACAAUCAAUUGUGAUAAACAGAUAUAUUACAUGCAUGUAGUACUAGUGACUUUAUCAUUUACUUUUAUACAAUAGAUCAUCACACUCUUUCUUCUAAAUAUUUUGGAGGAUAAUGGUACAUGUUGCUUGUUGCCAAGUCAAAAUUGGUGGCAAAAAUCGGCAUGAUACGAAAGGAUUGGUGAAAAGAUUCACAUAGAUGGUGCUUUGUGCAAUGCAGUCUUGCUCUAAUUCAACAGAGUGGACCAUGGUGAUGUAUUUUAAAUUUUAAAUUUUAAAUUAAUGCAUGCUUCAAAGUUUUAACUAGAUGUCACUUCCAUGGAUUUUUGUUCAUUUAAUUGAGAACAGGAUAGGCUAUCAAACUUGAAGUAAUAUAAAAAUCCCUUCAUUACUGUAACUAAUGAAAGAUCAUUAUCUGCGCUUGGUAUUUUGCCAAGGUAUUUGCUGCUCUUUCUAGCCCUAUCUUACAGUUAAGGACAAUGUGAUCUAGUUAACCUUAGAAGCUAUUCCAUGUCAUAUACAAGAGAUCAAGCACAUUAUCUUUGGGCUCAGUUCAAAACUAUAAUAUAUGGGUGGGGUGGGGGCCUAUACCAUUUGCAUAUCACCACUAUUGGUUUAGUUUGGAAGGUUUCUUCUGGAAGAUUGCUUUCUGGAAACAUUUCAAAGAAAUAUAUCUUUUUGUUCUCUUGGUGACGAGCAGCGGCAAUCAAGUCUGUUGACAAACAACCGAGUUGAAAAGUUUGAAAAUUGGUCACAGCCCACGUCCAUGGUUAAGGAAAAGGUCACUGGAAGUGAUCCCUUCUGGGCCUGUUGGAAGCAGGGGAGGUUAACACACCAAGCAACAAAGAACAGAGAUAUGCUGCUACUGAUCUAUAUUUUUUAUUUGAUCAUAAGGCUAAAUUUAUACAGAUUGUGUAACAGAUAUGACCUCAAAAAAAAGCAUCAAAUCAAGCUACUUGUUGAACAAACAACUACCUUCUACAAAAUAACAUCAAAAUUUAACUUAAAAGCAAAAACAUAAAAAUAGCAACAGCAAAAAUAGAAACAUAAAAAUAGCUUCAGCAUUCUAGUAAUCUCGUUGACUUCAAUUGCAUGUGGUUGACGAUUUCAGCCUUUUCCUCAGCAGCUACUAAGGCAUAACUCUCAACACUCCUCCUUGACUUAGGAGGUGCAAACUCCAAGUCUUUCUCAUAGAAACUCAAAUCUUAUUUUAGGAAGAGCUUUAGUCAGAAUAUCUACAUUUUGACUGUCUGUAUUGCAGUAGACUAGUUGUAUAUCUCCUUCUUUCUGUACUUCCCUCAAAAAUUACAAUUUAAUCUUGAAGUGCUUUGUUUUACCAUGAAAAACUGGAUCAUUUGCAAUAGAUAUAGUGGCCUGGUUGUCUACAAACACCUUUGUACUCACUUCUUGCUUCAUAUCCAAAUCUGUCAGCAACUUUCCAAGCCAUAAGGCUUGAUUUACAGCUGUAACAGCAGCAAUAUACUCUGCCUCAGCUGUGGAUUGAGCCACGACUUCUUGCUUCCUUGAACUCCAUGAAAAAACACCAGAACCAAAACUAAAACAAUAGCCUGAAGUACUUCUCAUAUCGUCAACACAACCAGCCCAAUCACUAUCAGAAAAUCCAUGAAAAUUGAAACUUUGAACUUGACUGAACUUAAUGCCAUAAUCCACAGUGCCUUUAACAUUUCUUAUCACACGCUUUGCUGCCUGGAAAUGAAUUUCACUAGCACAAUGCAUGUAUCUCGAAAGUAGACUUACAGCAUGCAUUAUAUCGAGUCUUGUUGCAGUCAAGUACAUUAAGCAUCCAAUCAUGCUUCGAUAAAGUCCUUCAUCUACCUUUUUAGCACCGUCCUCCUUACAGAACUUCUCUUUCUGGUUCAUAGGGGUAGAUGUAGGUUUGCAUUCCUCCAUUUUGAAUUUCUUCAUAAUUUCUUUGGCAUAUUUUUGUUGGCAGAUGAAAAUCUCAUUCUGCUUCUGGUGUACUUCCAUUCCCAAGAAGUAAGACAUCUCAUCUAGGUCUGUCAUCUCAAAAACCUGCUCCAUUUCAGCCUUGAAUUUGUUCACAAACCCUGCAUUACUUCCUGUUACAAGCAAAUCAUCAACAUAUAGAGAAACAAUUAAUAUAUCUUCUUCAAUCUUCUUAAUGUAGAGUGUAAAUUCACUCAAGCUCUUGUGAAAGCCUAAAGUUAGCAGGUGAGUGUCAAUCCUGCUGUACCAAGCUCUAGGGGCUUGUCUUAACCCAUACAAGGCCUUCUUAAGAAGGUAUACUUUUUCUUCUUUUCCUUUGAUAGCAAAACCUUCUGGUUGUUCGACAAAAAUCUCUUCCUCUAAGUAGCCAUUCAAAAAUGCUGACUUCACAUCUAGUUGAUAAAUCUUCCAUUUUCUUUGAGCUACAAGAGCCAACAACAUCCUGAUUGUAUCCAAACGAGCUACUGGUGCAAAGGUUUCCGAAAAGUCAACACCAAACAUUUGUGCAUACCCUUUGACAACCAGCCUUGCUUUAUGUUUGUUUAUAGAACCAUCAGAGUUGAGUUUGGUUCUGUAAACCCACUUAACCCCAAUAGGUUUUUUGUGUGAAGGUCUAUCUACUAGCUCCCAAGUGUUGUUCUUGUCAAUCAUAUCUAGCUCCUCCUGCAUUGCAACCCUCCAUCUUUUAUUUUCAGCAGCUUCAACAAACCCUGCAAGUUCAAGAACAGCUAUAUUACACCUUUGAUAAAUAUCAAAAAGUGUCAUGAAACCUCUAACUGGAAGUUCAUCAACAUCUUCAUCAAUAUAUUGCUGAUUCUGCUCAUCCCAACUCCAUUUCUCCGUUUCCAAAAACUUAACAUCUCUACUUACCACAAUUUUACUAUUUUGUGGCAAGUAGAUUCUGUAAGCUUUUGAGGUGCUGUUGUAUCCAAUGAAAAUUCCUGGUUCUGACUUUUUAUCUAGCUUGUCUCUUUUCACCUGAGGAACAUAAGAGAAACACAAGCAACCAAAGGUCUUUAAAUUCAUUAGCAUAGGCUUAUAAGCAAACCAGGCCUCAAAAGGUGUCUGUUUCUGCAAUGCUUUUGUUGGUAGUCUAUUUAGCAAAAAUACUACUGUAUUUGCAGCUUCAACCCAAAAACUUUUUGGCAGCUCUUUCUCAUGCAAAAGACAUCUUGUCAUUGAUUACUACUCAAAAAGUGCUAUUUGAUAGCCUUUAAUUAAUCCUUUUUAACACUUUUGAGUAGUAGUUUAGGCCUUUUAACUCAAUUGGCAUGUUAAGGAUCCUUUAAAGCAAUUUUGAUCACUUUGUGCAAGUUUUGGUGUUUUUGUUAGUAUUUCGAUCACCAAAGCAAGUCAAGAAUGAGGAGAGCUAUGAGGAAUCUUGGGCAAAGCUUAGAAUUCAAUUGCCAAGAGUGAAUCCGGAUUGCAAGGAGAAAAAGCAAAGAGGAUCAGUCAUGGAGCAUAUUCUUGAUGACAGUCGUAGCAGCCACUUUUGGAUCACUUUCUGAAGUCCAAAUGAUGCAAGCUAUAUACCAUUUCAAAGCUCAGGAAGUCAACAAUCCAAUGCUUCAAACGGUGUGCGAUUCGGAAUUGAAACGAAGAAGUUGCAGCCAUUACAAGCCAGACACUCUAAAGUGUUGCGGAAUCAGCCAUGUGUUGCGAGAAUUUCGCAGCACUUUUGUACAGUAAGGUGUUUCUCCUUCUAACGAUGCACGAACCAUGCCGCGAGAAGGGAGCUGGAAACUUCAAGAUGGAAGCCAACUUUGCAGCCUAGUGAAGAUAGCUCGGUCUUGCAAGAUAAUUUCGCAGCCCUCUUGGGUGUCUGCGAAAUUUCGCAGGCCUCAUUUUUCACCUGCGAAAUGGCUCUUGAAGCCUCCCGAAGCUUGCUACCGACAUUGGGAGAUAUUUUCCAUUAGAUUUUUGUUGUCUAAAUCCCAAAAUACUCCUUGUAAACCACCAAUUACAUGAUUCCUUAGUUUUUAAGUUAGUAAAAAGACCAAAUAUCUUUGUAACAAUUAGUUUUAUAUUUUGUUGUUAUAAAUACCUCUCGGGAGCCUGUUCUCAGGGAGGAGUUCCUUCUGUAAACGUUUGGUAAGCAAGUAAAGUCUAUUUUCUUUCUACUGCCUUACCUUCUCACUUUGUAUUUUCAUUUUAUUUCUAAGUUAUGAAUUCUCUGAGGAGUUUUCCCCAAAGAAUGAGUAACUAAACCUCCAAUUCCUUGGAGCUAAGGUUGCCGGGGAAGGUUCCAAGUGCAAGAAUGCAAAGCUCUGUGGUUUUAGCUAGUAAUGAAGAGGAAGUGAAAUCCUUUAGUGAUUUCAAUGUUUUUAGUUAACUUAAAACACUUUGGAGUCACCUGGGCCAACACUUGGUAAGGCAAGUGAUUUCCAACCAUGGAAAUGCACUAGUUUACCCCUUGCGAGCCUCUGGUAGGUGACUUCAAGGUAGGAUUUUCUGGAAUUACCAACACUUGGUAAGCUUUUGGACUCCUAGGAGACAUCCAUUAGUUAUCUCUUGCGAGUUUGUGAAGGGAAUCCAAGGUUAAAGAUCACCUUGAAUGGUAAGUGCUCGUGAGAGGCAUGAACCAUUGCAAGUUGUAUCAGUGAGAGAAUUAAAGUGAAAUCUAAUUGAAGGAGUCUUUGUACAUCACCGGUUAGAGAAUUGACUAUAAGUUGAAUCUCUAAUGCGAGGAAAUGAACCAACUGACCAGAGCCGUGUCUUUUGCAUGAGGAACCACCCCAGUGAACCUAAAUCUCCAAGGAAUGUUUUUUUCUUCCUAAAUUAUUCCAAACUUCUGUUAAGUUAGUUAGUUUAAAUCUCAACCUUUACAAAUCAAAGUUUGUGUUUUAUUCCUUAAGCUAACCGUGAAAUGAAACAAGACCAAUUCACUUGGAAUUGGUAUCAUUGAUUGCCUGCAAAUCAUUCCCAGUGAACGAUCCUAGAGCCACUAUACUAUAGUAGCUUUGUAUUUGCUACCCUAGUGUAUGGUGUUAUAGGUAUAAAUUUUGUUGAUCACUUCCUCAAUCAAGGAGCACCAGCUGAACACAAAUCAGCUGAGACACCAAUUAGGCAUGAGUCAAAUGGCGCCGUUGCCGGGGAAUGAAUGUCAAGUUCAUUGUGAUACCAUUGUUGAGCACUUGUGAUUUUCAUCACAAGUUGGUAAAGUUUCUUUCACUUUACUAAUUUUCAUUCUUUCUUUGUUUAUUUACAAUCUAAGUUUAUCUUUUUAAAUUUUAGUCUAGUUUAAUUUUGUUGUUGUAGCCCUGUUUUUCUUGUUGUCCUCUGUUUUCAUUUUUUUUUUCAGGUAGAUACUAGUUGUGUAUGCCCAAGUGGAUACGAGACAUAGGAGGUAGGCUUGUUAAGUGUGAUACACCUCAGAAAGGAGAAUUUGAAGUAAUCUUGAAUAUCAUGGAGGCUGCACCUGAAGAUCAGCAUAGUCACCAAGGUCGUCAAGACAAUCUCAAUGAAUUCAGAUCAAUGAGGGACCGUAUGCAUCCACCUCGUAUGAGUACACCAUCAUGUAUAGUGCCCCCUACAGAGCAGCUAGUGAUCAGACCAUAUCUUGUUCCACUUCUACCAACUUUCCAUGGGAUGGAAAGUGAGAAUCCGUAUGCACACAUCAAGGAAUUUGAAGAUGUUUGUAAUACAUUCCAAGAAGGAGGAGCUUCAAUUGACUUGAUGAGGCUUAAGUUAUUUCCUUUUACUUUAAAGGAUAAGGCCAAAAUUUGGCUUAAUUCUUUAAGGCCAAGGAGUAUCCGCUCUUGGACUGAUUUACAAGCUGAGUUCCUUAAGAAAUUUUUUCCUACUCAUAGAACAAAUGGCUUGAAAAGGCAAAUUUCAAACUUCUCAGCUAAAGAGAAUGAGAAAUUCUAUGAGUGUUGGGAAAGAUACAUGGAAGCUAUAAAUGCUUGUCCUCACCAUGGCUUUGAUACUUGGCUAUUGGUGAGCUAUUUUUAUGAUGGUAUGUCCUCCUCAAUGAAGCAACUCCUCGAGACAAUGUGUGGAGGAGAUUUCAUGAGCAAAAAUCCAGAGGAAGCUAUGGAUUUCUUGAGCUAUGUAGCUGAUGUUUCAAGGGGAUGGGAUGAACCAACUAAAGGAGAAGUGGGAAAGAUGAAGUCUCAGUUGAAUGCUUACAAUGCAAAGGCUGGGAUGUAUAAUUUGAAAGAAGAUGAUGACAUGAAAGCAAAGUUGGCAGCUAUGACAAGAAGAUUGGAGGAGCUGGAGCUGAAAAGAAUGCAUGAAGUGCAAGCUGUUGCUGAAGCACCAGUGCAAGUGAAGCUGUGUCCCAAUUGUCAAUCAUUUGAACAUUUGGUGGAGGAGUGCCCUGCAAUUUCAGUUGAAAGGGAAAUGUAUAGAGAUCAAGCAAAUGUUGUUGGACAAUUUAGGCCCAAUAACAAUGCUCCUUAUGGAAAUACCUACAAUUCAAGUUGGAGGAAUCAUCCAAAUUUCUCAUAGAAGGCCAGAGCAACUCAAUACCAACAGCCGGAUCCACCAUCUCAGCAAUCUUCAAGUAUUGAACAAAUAAUAGCCAAUCUCAGCAAGGUAGUGGGAGAUUUUGUGGGAAAGCAAGAAGCCACCAAUGCUCGAGUUGAUCAAAGAAUGGAUAGAAUGGAGAGUGUGUUGAACAAAAGAAUGGAUGGAAUGCAAAAUGAUAUGAACCAAAAGUUUGAUAACAUCCAAUAUUCAAUUUCAAGGCUUACAAAUUUGAAUACACUGCAAGAAAAAGGAAGAUUUCCUUCUCAACCUAACCAAAAUCCCAAAGGUGUCCAUGAAGUGGAAAGCCAUGAGGGAGAAUCAUCACAGGUGAAAGAUGUGAAAGCUUUGAUCACUCUAAGGAGUGGUAAGAAAAUUGAGCAGCCAACACCCAUGCCACAUGUUGAGAAAGAAGAAGGGAUAAAGAAAGGAAAGGAAAUAGAAGAUAAAGACAGUGAGAUCAGUGAAGAAAAGAAGGACUCUGAUUCAACAAUCAAAGCAAUUCCAGAGAAAGAGCUUCUGAAGGAAGAAAUGCUGAAGAAAUCAACUUUUCCACCUUUUCCUCAAGCAUUACAGGGGAAAAAGGGGGUUAGAAAUGCAGCUGAAAUCCUUGAAGUCUUAAGACAAGUAAAAGUUAAUAUUCCACUGCUGGAUAUGAUCAAACAAGUUCCAACGUAUGCAAAAUUCCUAAAGGACUUGUGUACUAUCAAAAGAGGGGUUGACUGUAAACAAGAAAGCCUUCUUGACUGAGCAAGUAAGUGCAAUCUUACAAUGCAAGUCUCCUUUGAAGUACAAAGACCCUGGAAGUCCUACCAUUUCAGUCAUGAUUGGAGGAAAGGUAGUGGAGAAAGCCUUGCUAGACUUGGGAGCAAGUGUGAAUUUGCUUCCAUACUCUGUCUACAAGCAACUGGGACUUGGAGAGUUGAAGCCAACAGCAAUCACUUUAUCUUUGGCAGAUAGAUCAGUGAAAAUUCCAAGAGGAGUAAUUGAGGAUGUAUUGGUUCAAGUGGAUAAUUUCUACUAUCCAGUAGAUUUUGUUGUUCUUGAUACUGAUCCAACUGUAAAGGAAGCUAAUUUAGUUCCUAUCAUCCUUGGAAGGCCAUUUCUUGCAACUUCAAAUGCAAUCAUCAACUGUAGAAAUGGGCUUAUGCAACUCACUUUUGGUAACAUGACACUGGAUCUCAAUAUUUUCUAUAUGUCUAAAAAGCAAAUCACUCCUGAGGAAGAAGAAGGUCCAGAAGAGCUAUGUAUUAUUGAUACUUUGGUGGAGGAGCACUGCAAUCAGCAUAUGCAAGAUAAGUUGAAUGAAAGUCUUGUGGAUAUUGAGGAAGGUUUUUCUGAAUCUCCUAUUGGGCUUGCUACUCUACAAAGUUGGAGAAAGAUAGAAGGAAUUCUACCUUUGUUCAAUGAAAAAGAGGAGGCAACUGUUGAAGAAGAAAUUCCAAAACUCAAUUUGAAGCCUUUACCUGUGGAGCUGAAAUAUACAUAUCUUGAAGCAAAUAAUCAAUGUCCUGUUGUGAUAUCCUCAUCUCUGACCAGUCAUCAAGAGAAUUGUUUAAUGGAAGUUCUCAUGAGGUGUAAGAAGGCAAUAGGAUGGCAAAUAUCUGACUUGAAAGGCAUUAGUCCUUUAGUUUGUACUCAUCAUAUAUAUAUGGAGGAGGAAGCAAAGCCAAUUCGUCAAUUUCAAAGAAGGUUGAAUCCUCAUCUACAAGAGGUGGUGCGAGCUGAGGUGCUGAAGCUACUUCAAGCAGGAAUCAUUUACCCUAUUUCUGAUAGCCCUUGGGUGAGUCCUACUCAAGUGGUACCAAAGAAGUCAGGGAUCACAGUGAUUCAAAAUGAAAAAGGGGAAGAAAUUACUACACGCCUCACUUCAGGUUGGAGGGUGUGUAUUGAUUAUAGAAAGCUGAAUGCUGUCACCAGGAAGGAUCAUUUUCCAUUGCCAUUUAUUGAUCAAGUGCUGGAGAGAGUCUCUGGACAUCCAUUUUAUUGUUUCUUGGAUGGGUAUUCAGGCUAUUUUCAAAUUGAAAUUGAUUUGGCAGAUCAGGAAAAGACCACUUUUACAUGUCCAUUUGGAACAUUUGCUUAUAGAAGAAUGCCUUUUGGUUUAUGCAAUGCACCUGCUACAUUUCAAAGAUGUAUGUUGAGUAUUUUCAGUGAUAUGGUGGAGAGAAUUAUGGAGGUUUUCAUGGAUGACAUCACCGUAUAUGGAGGUACAUUUGAGGAGUGCUUGGUUAAUUUGGAAGCAGUUCUUCAUAGAUGCAUUGAAAAAGAUUUGGUGCUGAACUGGGAGAAAUGCCAUUUUAUGGUACGUCAAGGAAUUGUCCUUGGCCAUAUCAUCUCUGAAAGAGGCAUUGAAGUUGAUAAAGCAAAGGUGGAGCUUAUUGCCAAAUUACCAUCUCCAACAACUGUGAAAGGAGUAAGACAGUUCCUUGGCCAUGCAGGGUUCUAUAGGAGGUUUAUAAAAGGUUUUUCAAGUCUUUCAAAACCUCUUUGUGAGCUGUUAGCUAAGGAUGCUAAGUUUAUAUGGGAUGAAAGGUGUCAGCAUAGCUUUGAUCAACUGAAGAAGUUUUUAACAACAACUCCAAUAGUGAGAGCCCCUAACUGGCAAUUACCUUUUGAACUGAUGUGUGAUGCCAGUGACUUUGCUAUAGGAGCUGUGCUUGGCCAAAGAGAAGAUGGGAAGCCCUAUGUGAUUUACUAUGCAAGUAAAACACUAAAUGAAGCUCAGAGGAACUACACAACUACAGAGAAAGAAUUGUUAGCUGUGGUAUUUGCUUUGGACAAAUUUCGAGCUUAUUUAGUGGGGUCUUUCAUCAUUGUCUUCACUGACCAUUCAGCCUUGAAGUAUUUAUUGACAAAGCAAGAUGCAAAAGCAAGGUUGAUUAGAUGGAUUCUAUUGUUACAAGAGUUCGAUCUUCAAAUCAAAGAUAAGAAAGGAGUGGAGAAUGUAGUAGCUGACCACUUGUCAAGGUUAGUUAUAGCACAUAAUUCCCAUCCCUUGCCUAUCAAUGAUGAUUUUCCUGAAGAAUCACUCAUGUUCCUAGUGAAAACUCCUUGGUAUGCUCAUAUUGCUAAUUAUUUAGUAACUGGGGAAAUUCCAAGUGAGUGGAAUGCACAGGACAGGAAGCACUUCUUUGCCAAAAUUCAUGCUUAUUAUUGGGAAGAGCCCUUUCUCUUUAAGUAUUGUGCAGAUCAGAUUAUUAGGAAGUGUGUCCCUGAAGAUGAGCAGCAAGGGAUUCUAUCUCAGUGUCAUGAGAAUGCAUGUGGAGGCCACUUUGCCUCUCAGAAAACAGCCAUGAAGGUAUUACAAUCAGGGUUUACUUGGCCAUCUCUUUUCAAAGAUGCCCACAUCAUGUGUAGAAAUUGUGAUAGAUGCCAAAGGCUUGGAAAGCUAACAAAAAGAAAUCAAAUGCCUAUGAACCCCAUUCUGAUAGUUGAGAUAUUUGAUGUUUAGGGCAUUGACUUCAUGGGACCUUUCCCAAUGUCUUUUGGUAAUUCUUACAUUUUGGUGGGGGUAAAUUAUGUUUCUAAAUGGGUUGAGGCAAUCCCCUGUAAGCAAAAUGAUCACAGGGUGGUUCUCAAGUUUCUUAAAGAGAACAUUUUCUCAAGAUUUGGGGUGCCCAAGGCCAUAAUCAGUGAUGGAGGAGCUCAUUUUUGCAACAAACCUUUUGAAGCUCUGUUAUCCAAGUAUGGAGUGAAGCAUAAGGUAGCCACACCUUAUCAUCCUCAGACAUCCGGGCAAGUUGAGCUAGCUAACAGGGAAAUAAAGAACAUUUUGAUGAAAGUGGUGAAUUCCAACAGAAAAGAUUGGUCUAUUAGGCUUCAUGAUUCAUUGUGGGCAUAUAGAACAGCUUAUAAAACUAUUCUUGGGAUGUCUCCCUAUCGUCUUGUCUAUGGCAAAGCAUGCCAUCUCCCUGUGGAAGUUGAAUACAAAGCUUGGUGGGCAAUAAAGAAGCUGAAUAUGGACUUGAUCAAGGCCGGAGAAAAGAGAUUUCUAGACCUUAAUGAGAUGGAGGAAUUAAGAAAUAAUGCUUAUAUCAAUUCCAAAGUUGCAAAACAGAGGAUGAAGAAGUGGCAUGAUCAACUCAUCUCCAACAAGGAAUUUCAGGAAGGGCAAAAAGUUUUGAUGUAUGACACAAGACUCCAUAUCUUUCCUGGGAAGCUCAAAUCAAGGUGGAUUGGUCCAUUUGUUAUUCACCGAGUAUAUUCCAAUGGAGUGGUGGACUUAUUGAAUUCCAAUGGCAAGGAUAGCUUUAAAGUCAAUGGAUAUCGUCUCAAGCCGUUCAUGGAGUCAUUCAAAUCAGAAAAGGAGGCAAUCAACCUCCUUGAACCUCAAAAAGCCUAAGUGAAAAGGGUUUGCUGGACGUGGCUUUACCACAGUCCAAAAUUUUUGUAAAUUUUGUAAAUUUUCAAGUUGUUUCUAUACUUUUGAUUUUAGUUUUUGAUCUUAAAUCAUGUUUUUAGGUGUGUUUUAAUCGUUUUAAAUGAUCCCAGGUGGAAGAAAUUUCAAGGGGAUUGAAAGAAAAAAAAUCGGGUCGAAAUUGGAGCCGAAACAGAGCAAAAACAGGGGAAAAACAGAGCUCUGCGAAAUUUCGCAGGGUGAAGGAAACCUCUGCGAAAUGAGCAUUUUGUUGCGAAACCAUUCCGCAGCACUGUAGAAGCCUCUGCGAGUGUAUUUCGCAGCUGCGAAAGUGAAUUUGGCACACGAGUGCCACUUCGCAGUACAGUAGCAUCCAUUUGGCAGCUGCGAAACUCAUUGCGAAAUGGAAAAGCGUGAUUUCGCACCAAAAGUCCCAUUCCGCAGGGUAUUUCGCAAUUGCGAAAGUGGUUUUGGCACACGAGUGCCACUCCGCAGCACAGUAACAUCAAUUUCGCAGCUGCGAAACUCACUGCGAAGUUGCUGCGAAAAUGGCAAGUUGCUGCGAAAUUGGCGUUUAGUUGCGAAACUUAAACUGACCCCUGAGCUUCCGUUUUUCCUAUUUAUACCGGUCAAAAGUGCUGCGAAAAGGGUUUCAAAAAUCAGAGCACCAUUCUCGCAGCCCCUUCAUCUUCUUCGCCAAGCCACGCCGUCCGAACCUCCGGUCGUCUUCUCCGUUUAGCAGCGCCGGCCAAAGAUCGAUAUUCCAAAAUGGCACGAACGCGAGGGGCAAAAUCUUCAUCCCCUUCGAAUCGCAAAAGGAGUCUGCGAAAGGAGCCAAGUCCAGGUUCUGCUCCAGAACCUGCUCCAAAGCCUUCGCCGUCGAGACCACAACCUUCUCCAGUGAAGCCGGCGCCACUAAAGCCGCCGGCAAGACGAUAUUUGACAAGGUCAGGCGGUUGGCCAUUGAAGAAGAAGCCCAGGGUUGAGAGCUCUGAACCAAUUGAUUUGACUGAGCAAUCCCCUGAGCAGUCCCCAAAUCCUUCACCAGUUCAAACUCCAGUGCCGUCACCGGUUCCCUCGCCAAUUCCCUCACCUGAAGCAACUCCAAUUCCAUCGUCGGUACCAUCUCCGGCACCCCAAGAAAAAGCUCAGGAGCCUCAAGCGCCAAUUCCAGAGCCCCAAAUUGCAGCUGAAGCACCUCUGGAAGAAGUGAUCCGAAGGCCAAUGCUGCCCCAGCCCCCAAUCGAAGGAAACUUGGAUUGUCGAACACGGGCAUUCCAUUCUGAGCUUUGCUUCGAUUUAACAGCAUUCAGAGUGAGGCCAGAGCUUGCCCAAUCCUUCCAGCUGCUGAGGAGAUAUCAUAUGGAGCAUCUGCUAGCUCCAAGGGAUUUUUUCUAUCCCCGGGUAGUCACGGACUUCUACCAGACCAUGACAACCAAAGAAGUAAGAAAUCCAACUCUGAUCCAUUUCAUAAUUGAUGGAAGGCAUGGUAUUUUGGGAGCAAGACACAUUGCUGAAGCUCUGCAAAUUCCUUUUGAGCCAACCCAAUUCGACAAUUUUAAAGCUUGGGUAAAUCCUACUGAGUUAGAGAUGGUUCGCACACUAACCAGAGGAGCUGCAAAUCGAUCACACCUGUUGAGGGGGGAGCUACCUCCAGUGAUGUUUUUGAUUGAUGCCUUUUUGAGGCAUAAUAUCUAUCCCCUGCAGCAUUGGACCCAAAGAAGGGGAAUUCUCCUGGAAGCUUUGUACAAGAUGUCAGAAGGAUUCUUCUUUGGGCCCCAUCAUCUUAUCAUGGCAGCCCUUCUAUACUUUGAGGAAAAGGUUCACAAGAAGAAACUUCAAAGAGCAGAUUGCAUUCCACUCCUCUUCCCAAGGCUGCUAUGCCAAGUUUUGGAGCAUCUCGGAUACCCCUCUGAGCCUCAGCAGGAAAGAAAGAGAAUAUGCCGUGAGCCAUUUACUCUUGAUAAAUGGAAUAAUAUGACGGCCUACAAAAUUGAUCAGCCUGGGCAGCCUCAGCCAGCAGCAAGGAGAGCCUCCCCAAGACAUGCACCUGAAGGUAUAACACUUGCUACUCCUGCCAUCCCUCGAGCUUCACCAGCUGCACCUGCUGCAUCACAGCCAUCCACAUCAGCUGAGCCGAGGAUGGCCAUCCCUAUAUCCGAAUAUCGAGAGCUGUGCCGAGCAUUGGAGACUCUUACAGCUUCCCAGAGCAAUCUUGCUCAAGAGUUGGCAGCCAUCAAAGCAUGCCAGGAGCAGAUGUUAGCCUCUCAGGCUCAACAAGCUGCCAUCCUAAGGCAGCUUCAAGUCCAUUUCGAUCUGCCACAAGCUGUAGAGCCCUCCACUGAGACUCCACCAGAGCCACACUCUCAGCCUUCAGAGUCUCUUCCUCCAGAGCCAGAAGCCCCAACUGAUCCACCUACAGAGGAGGCGGAUCCUUCUGCUUAGCACCAUCACCCCACUCAUCAGACAUUAUAUAUAUUUGCUGUUUAUGUUUUUAUGCAUGUUUGUUUUGUUUUAGUUGAAAUGAAAUCCCAGUAUUUUGGUACUAUAUAUGGGAUUCCUUGUGAUUACUUGUCCUUAGCAUUGUACUCGAAUGAAUUGAAAGUAAUACAAGUUGAAUUUUUCUUGUUAAAAGUUAGCAUUAAAAUUCUCCUUAUUUCCUUUUCUCACAUAUUCUAUUCUUUUUGAAACAUGUGGUUUUCCCCAAUCAAUAUUCGAAUUUGAUAUCAGCAUGGAGGUACCACUUCCUCCCUUUUAUUACAGUCACUCAAAUCACAUUGAGGACAAUGCUCAGUUCGGUUGGGGGGUAUGAGGAAGGAAGUAUUCUAAAUCUUUUUGGUAUUGCAAUUAUAUUGGUUAAUUAGUUGUAGAUUUUACGUUUUACUCUUGUUACUCUAUUCUCCAUGAAUUUUGAGGAAAAAUUUUCAAAUUAAACCAAGAGAAAUUGAACUGUUGUUUUUCACUUGACUUAGAGUAUGGAUUAUGCUUACUAAAGUGGUUCAAUUGUUGAAACUUCUACUGAAAUUGAAUUGAGUUCUUCCAUUUUAAGCUAUCCACACACUGUGCACAUUAGUUUCUGAUUAUAAGAUGAAAAGCUAUUUCCCUCUUGACUUAGGAUAAUUUUGGGACUUGGUAUAUUUGACCUCAUUUGAUAAAAAUUGAAACACCCUGCAAAAGGCCAAUGAGCCUUUGAAAUAAAGAAAGAUGUUUGCUUGCCUUGAAACCCGAGCAAGGUCUGAGGGGCAUAUGGUGAAAGCCUUUAAAGCCUGGUGCCCUAAGCCUUAAUUGGUUGGGAGUCACCGACCUCAAUGCUCGUUACAAGGGUGAAUAGGUAGAGCUAGCAUAUGGUAGAUGCUUGGGUAUUAGAAAUUCAUUCUUAAAAGUCCAGGGAAAAAUCCGAGGAGUUAGUGGUUGAAAGAUCCUUAAAACUUGGUGCCCUAAACCUUAAUUGGUUGGGAGUCAUCGAUGGACCCCCAUUACAUGGACAAGUCAGAAAGAGUACCCCAUAAAGCUACUUUAAAAAAAAAAAAAAAAAAAAAAAAAAGAUGAUGAAAGUGUGUUCUUUUCUUAUUGAUUUUGGUCAGAUUGCUAAAGUGUUGAAAAGAGAUAGGUUGGGGGGGGAGACUAGUUUAGCAUAUUAUUCUCGGAAUCUAAGGAACCAAUACACAUAGAUUUUUGUGGAAGAUUGAAGUUUAGUUCUUAGAAAGUGAAAUGAUUUUAAAACUUCAGUUUGCAUAAUGCACUCCCUUGAUUGACAGUGUUUAGCAUAGGUGUUAUGACUCUUGUUGAGAUUUGGGUUUGUAUUUCUUUAAUGAUUCAUGUGAGAAGUAAAUCAUCAUGCCACUUAAGAAUUAUUUUCCUUUCAGCAUGAUGUUGUAAAUUUUAGAUUAGUUUGCUAUUUAUUUUUAUUUUUCUCUCCUUUAUUGCUAAGGGACUAGCAAUAUGUCGGUUGGGGGGAGUGAUUACUACUCAAAAAGUGCUAUUUGAUAGCCUUUAAUUAAUCCUUUUUAACACUUUUGAGUAGUAGUUUAGGCCUUUUAACUCAAUUGGCAUGUUAAGGAUCCUUUAAAGCAAUUUUGAUCACUUUGUGCAAGUUUUGGUGUUUUUGUUAGUAUUUCGAUCACCAAAGCAAGUCAAGAAUGAGGAGAGCUAUGAGGAAUCUUGGGCAAAGCUUAGAAUUCAAUUGCCAAGAGUGAAUCCGGAUUGCAAGGAGAAAAAGCAAAGAGGAUCAGUCAUGGAGCAUAUUCUUGAUGACAGUCGUAGCAGCCACUUUUGGAGCACUUUCUGAAGUCCAAAUGAUGCAAGCUAUAUACCAUUUCAAAGCUCAGGAAGUCAACAAUCCAAUGCUUCAAACGGUGUGCGAUUCGGAAUUGAAACGAAGAAGUUGCAGCCAUUACAAGCCAGACACUCUAAAGUGUUGCGGAAUCAGCCAUGUGUUGCGAGAAUUUCGCAGCACUUUUGUACAGUAAGGUGUUUCUCCUUCUAACGAUGCACGAACCAUGCCGCGAGAAGGGAGCUGGAAACUUCAAGAUGGAAGCCAACUUGGCAGCCUAGUGAAGAUAGCUCGGUCUUGCAAGAUAAUUUCGCAGCCCUCUUGGGUGUCUGCGAAAUUUCGCAGGCCUCAUUUUUCACCUGCGAAAUGGCUCCUGAAGCCUCCCGAAGCUUGCUACCGACAUUGGGAGAUAUUUUCCAUUAGAUUUUUGUUGUCUAAAUCCCAAAAUACUCCUUGUAAACCACCAAUUACAUGAUUCCUUAGUUUUUAAGUUAGUAAAAAGACCAAAUAUCUUUGUAACAAUUAGUUUUAUAUUUUGUUGUUAUAAAUACCUCUCGGGAGCCUGUUCUCAGGGAGGAGUUCCUUCUGUAAACGUUUGGUAAGCAAGUAAAGUCUAUUUUCUUUCUACUGCCUUACCUUCUCACUUUGUAUUUUCAUUUUAUUUCUAAGUUAUGAAUUCUCUGAGGAGUUUUCCCCAAAGAAUGAGUAACUAAACCUCCAAUUCCUUGGAGCUAAGGUUGCCGGGGAAGGUUCCAAGUGCAAGAAUGCAAAGCUCUGUGGUUUUAGCUAGUAAUGAAGAGGAAGUGAAAUCCUUUAGUGAUUUCAAUGUUUUUAGUUAACUUAAAACACUUUGGAGUCACCUGGGCCAACACUUGGUAAGGCAAGUGAUUUCCAACCAUGGAAAUGCACUAGUUUACCCCUUGCGAGCCUCUGGUAGGUGACUUCAAGGUAGGAUUUUCUGGAAUUACCAACACUUGGUAAGCUUUUGGACUCCUAGGAGACAUCCAUUAGUUAUCUCUUGCGAGUUUGUGAAGGGAAUCCAAGGUUAAAGAUCACCUUGAAUGGUAAGUGCUCGUGAGAGGCAUGAACCAUUGCAAGUUGUAUCAGUGAGAGAAUUAAAGUGAAAUCUAAUUGAAGGAGUCUUUGUACAUCACCGGUUAGAGAAUUGACUAUAAGUUGAAUCUCUAAUGCGAGGAAAUGAACCAACUGACCAGAGCCGUGUCUUUUGCAUGAGGAACCACCCCAGUGAACCUAAAUCUCCAAGGAAUGUUUUUUUCUUCCUAAAUUAUUCCAAACUUCUGUUAAGUUAGUUAGUUUAAAUCUCAACCUUUACAAAUCAAAGUUUGUGUUUUAUUCCUUAAGCUAACCGUGAAAUGAAACAAGACCAAUUCACUUGGAAUUGGUAUCAUUGAUUGCCUGCAAAUCAUUCCCAAUGAACGAUCCUAGAGCCACUAUACUAUAGUAGCUUUGUAUUUACUACCCUAGUGUAUGGUGUUAUAGGUAUAAAUUUUGUUGAUCACUUCCUCAAUCAAGGAGCACCAGCUGAACACAAAUCAGCUGAGACACCAAUUAGGCAUGAGUCAGUCAUCUCCAUUAUUGUUUUAUUUUUUCUUUCCACCACCCCAUUUUGUUGUGGGGUGUAUGGUGCAAUGAGCUGGUGAUCUAUGCCUGCAUCUUCACAAAAUUUGUUGAAUUUUUCUGAAGUAUAUUCUGUACCAUUAUUCGACCUUAUAACCUUGAUUCUGUAUUCACUUUGAUUUUCAACCAUGGCCUUAUAUCUCAAAAACACAUCAGCAACCUCAGCUUUGUAAGUGAGAAAAUAAAUCCAACAAAAUCUUGUGAAGUCAUCAAUAAAUGCAAUAUAGUACUUACUCCCUUUCAAAGAUGGUGUCUUUUGAGGUCCACUCACAUCUGUGUGAACCAAUUGUAGUUUCUGUGUUGAUUUCCAUGCUGCUUUUUGAGGAAAAGGAAGUCUUGUUUGCUUCCCAUAUUGAUAGGCUGCACAUAUAGGAAGUUCUUCUUCCAAAUCAGGGAGUCCUUCUACAAUCUAAUUCUUCUUCAUGUAGAGCACGGUAUUGUGGUGGAAAUGCCCUAAUCUUUUAUGCCAAAGCAUUGUAUUGUUCUCGUGUUGUGCAGCAGUAAUUUGCUCAUCUUCUAACAUAUUUAAGGCAAAACUUUUGCCUUUCAUUUUUAUGUUGAACACCUCUUUGCCUUCAGCAUCCUUGAUUAUGCAAUUUUUGUCUUCAAAACAAACUUUAAACCCUUUCUCAACAAGCUGUCCAACACUUAGCAAAUUUUGGUCAAUGUCAGGCACAAACAAAACAUCAGAAAUGAGCUUUAAACCUGUUAGGCUUUCAAUAGCUAAUGUUCUUUUACCUUUUACUGGAAUAUACUCACCAUUUCCUAUUCUAACUUUGGAAAUAGUUGUCCUAUCAAUCUCCCUAAAGCGAUCUUGAUCAUGUCAUGUGGUUUGUGCAACCACUGUCCACGAGCCAGCUUUCAGAGGUGCUACCGUUUGCAAAACAUGUUGCUGAAAAUAGUUGUUCCUCCUGGUAUUGUUCAGCUGCUACAUUGGUUUCUCCCUGCUGCUGCUGAGUUCUACAGAUCCUUUCUAUGUGUCCAUGUCUACCACAUUUGUUGCAUUUCACAUCUGGUCUCCACCAACAUUUUUGUUGAGGAUGAUUUGUUUUCUUGCAAUGAGGACAGGGUGGAUAGGUUCCAGUUUUUUUAUUGUUGUUGUUGCUUGGCUUAUUGUUGUUCUUUUUGUUCUUCCUCCUUCUUGUGUUACCUUCAUUGGUCUGUGUCUUUGCUUGAAAAGCUCCUUCUACAGAACUUCCUUGCCUCAUGAGUCUUCUUUGUUCCAAAGCUUGUAAAGCAUUUAGUAGUUCUGCCAAGGUGAUACUUGACAAAUCUUUUGUGUUUUCCAAAGAAGAAAUUGUAGCUUCAUAUUUUUCAGGAAUUGUGACAAAAUUGUUUUGAACAACUCUUUCAUCAGAAAACUCUUUACCUAGCAACCUCACCUUGUUUGCUAUGGUAAGAAGUUGUUCUGCAUAAUCUUUUAUGGUUUGAGACUCUUUCAUCCUCACCAUUUCAAAUUCUCGAAUUAGAUUCAUUACCUGCACAUUUCUGACUCUUUCAUUGCCUUGAUAUUCUUCCCGUAGAUGCUUCCAGAUUUCUGCAACAGAUUCAAGUUGCAUGAUUCUGGUGAGAAUUAAUGGUGAGACUACAGAAAAUAAGCAAGCCUUGGCCUUAGCCUUCCUCGUCUUUUUCUCCUUAUGGUUUUUCAUCUGUGACACAGUUGGAUUGGCUCCAAGUGGAGAAAUUUCAUAAUCUUCCUCUAUUGCUUCCCAGACAUCAAGAGCCUGUAGAUGAACAGUCAUCCUGACAGCCUAAGUUUGGUAAUUUUCUCCAUUGAAGACUAGUGGUGCUGCUGUGAAGCUUGCUUCUUCCAUUUCUGCAAGGUUUUCAGAUUCAGGUUUGGUAUACGGUGUUUAGGCUCACACACCUCACUGGUCCCUCAAGACAAAAAUUGCUCUGAUACCAAACUGUUGGAAGCAGGCGAGGUUAACACACCAAGCAACAGAGAACAGAGAUAUGCUGCUACUGAUCUAUAUUUUUUAUUUGAUCAUAAGGCUGAAUUUAUACAGAUUGUGUAACAUAUAUGACCUCAAAAAAAGCAUCAAAUCAAGCUACUUGUUGAACAAAAAACUACCUCCUACAAAAUAGCAUCAGAAUUUAACUUAAAAGCAAAAACAUAAUAAUAGCAACAGCAAAAACAGAAACAUAAAAAUAGCUUCAACAUUCUAGUAAUCUCAUUGACUUCAAUUGCAUGUGGUUGACGAUUUCAGCCUUUUCCUCAGCAGCUACUAAGGCAUAACUCUCAACAGGGCCUCUUAAUUUCCAUUCUGGCAUCUAUAUGACCUGAUAAAUAGAAAGAAAAAAAAACAGAAGAAAAGCGGCACCUGGGUUCAUAGUAAGCAUCAAGACAGGAUGCUGAAAGAAGGGAGAGAGGAGAUUGCAAGUCCAAUCCUGAUAAAAUAUCAACAAAGAGUAUUAAAUGGGGCCAACAUAAAGACCCAUUAAGGUCAGCAGAUGGCAUGGCAUUUUUCUCCUUAAGUUUUCCAUGAUUAGGCUUGAAGUCAAAAUUUCACAUGUAAAUUUGUAUUUCUACAUUUCCCACUGACGACACCCAACUUCAACUUGAGUUAGAAUAACAUUGUGUGAACUUAUCUGGCCCUCAAAAUUUACUGUGAAGUGCUUUCUGCGUGUGAAGAUUCAGAAAAGCACCAAGGGAACAUGUAUGGUCUGCCUUUUUCUGAUGUUAUGUUUGUCUCUAAUUCUGUUCCAUGUCAUGGUAAAUGUUCACAUUGCUUGUAUGGAACACACCAGGAUCACUUUUUCAGGUUUAGGGGGAUACAAAAGGCUUCAUAUUGGGUUCAAUGCUUUUAAUGUGUUCAUUGGACAAAUCUGAAUUAUCAUACGCAUUUAGAUAAGAACAAUAAUGUGAAACCCUAGUUACACCUCCCCUGCAUAACCCCAACCCUGCUUGCUCUAUUUCAGUUUACUCACAAGUUUUACUGGUUCUUAUAAGUCAAGAAAAGGCAACUGAUGUUGGAUCGACUCUCUUCCAUGUAAAAAAUGCAACUUUUAUACAUAUAAAAGAACUUCUUCCCCUCACCAAUGUGGGAUUUCAUAGAUUUAUUCUGGAAACACAUCAAAGGAACAUCUUUUCUCUUGGGUGACCCUAAGUGGUGAGUCAGAUCAUUUGCAUGCCAUUGAGUUGCACAGUUGGAUAAAUGCACCUGCCUCCUGGGCUCCAGAGUUAAAAGGGUGGAUCCCUGGAUUGCAACCCUCUUGGCAUCUUGGUUUCUAUUCCAACAUCCACAUGACUUGACAAAACAAAAAACAGAAUAAAAUCAGCACUAUAUUCAUGCUAAGCACCAAUACAUGAUGGAAAUCAUUGCUUAAAGAUUUGGGGUCGUUUUAGGUUUUGACUGCCUCCUACCACCUCACCUAAUGACAAGUUUUUAUGCUUACAAAUCAAAUAUCGUUCUUCAUUAUAUUAAAAUCAUUUUAAGAUUUCAGAUCCAUCUGCUAAUUAUGAUUAUGAUAACAUUUAUUCACCUGUGCUUCUCAUUUUCGACACACAAGGCAUCUAGGUUUGCAGGAUUUCCUUAUUAGAUGAGAUAAAUGAGUACGUAUGGUUAUGUAUCCAGCAUUCAUUAACCAUGGUAUGUGACAUUUAGAAUUAAGAUAGCAAGCAAACUUUCCCUGCAGCUAGAGUAAAUUGUGAUUUCUUAGCCUCUAUGAGUGGUUCCCAAAUCAAAUUAACAUAGUGAAAUAUACGUAGUCCAGUGAAAGGAAAUGUAAAUUAUAAACUAACAGCACUACACUACUGGUAACAAUCGAUACUCUCUAUAUAAUGCAAUAAACAAUGUCACAAUUGCCUACAAGCAAGGCACAAACACUAGAACAAGUAAAGCACAAACCUUUCCCAACAGUUCCCAGUGACUGAUGCAUAUCAUACCCUCAACUCACAGAAGGGGAUGAUAUCAGUGCACUGCAGCACUUAUUUUACACAUACUACCACUACUACUACUACUACUACUACUCAUUAGCCAAAGUCACUCAGUUGGGAUGAGUGUGAGGUAGAGGUUUGUGGGGUGCUAUGUGGAAAGGAGUUUGGCUUCUUCUCAGGAGAUGGUAGCUUCUUUGCAGGAGUUGAAGGAGGCUUAAUCUUCUGUGGUGGAUUGAUUGUAUGAGUCUUUGGCACUCUCUUCUCUAGUACAGGUGAAUACCCAGGGGUGCAUCCAUAAUGCGGUGGCUUCUAUCCCUUAGGUGGUUUGCCAAAUUCAAAAUCGAAGGAUUUUUUUUUUUUAAGUAUACGUAUCUUUGAAAGCUUUUAUUUUGUAUGGCAAAUGGAAUGAGAGGAGCAGUCAUAUUCUAUUUGGCCAGAGCAACAUAUCACAAAUGAACAAGCUAUUUACUGCCACACUGGGCAAAACAUACAUAAUCCUUGUACUUCAAACAUCCAUGAAUUCUCAUCAUUUUCAGGACACGUUGCAUGGUCUAUCAUUCUAUAUGUCGGCAUAGUAAGUGCAGCUAAUAAGCCUAUUCAGAGCUGAAAUUCAAAAUCUAUUCACAGGAUAAUGACCUUAUUAUUGGAUUUUGCUCACUGUCAUACACACAUAUCAGAUAAAGCCCCACAUGCUCAUAAGCUACAAGCAACCUACAAGCACUAAAAUGAGUGUUAGACGUAUGAAACAUUCCCCAAUACUAGUAGUAUUACCUGUUCCAUAGAACACUAAAUUAGAAGAGAGAAGAUGUGAGACUCCAGCUUUUCUUUCUACAUAUUACUCAUAUCAAGUUGGAAUAGUUAGGCGGUAGAGGCUUGGGGUGGCUUGUGUAGGGGACUAGGCAGCUUCUCUCAGGAGUUGAUUUCGUCUUAUUCUGGAUGUCCAGGUUUCGUCCUUUCGAAUUUCCCAUGCAAAUCAGCAUUCUCCUUGGGAAACUUCACUCCGUUGGGAAACUUGUGUGAAUCUUUGGCAUUCUCUACCAGAGAAGGCCCAGGGCAGUGACCAUAAGGUGGUGGCCUUUUUUCAGGUGGUGGCUCCUCUCCCACUGGAGGCUUGUGGUAAUCAGCAAGAGAGGCAGUGGAGAGAAUCAUCACCCCAAGGAACAGCACUAGCAAGUAUUUGUGAGCCAUAUUUGGGAUCUGAUGAUGAAGACUAGAAGAUAGGAGUUGCCUCAUAUAAUGGGUUGGAGACUAUAUCUCAAGGGGACGUGUAUUUAUGCAUAUGAUCUAUAUAGGACCAUCCUCCUAAUAUUUUCAAAAUAAUGUUAUUGUCUCUCUUGGGUGACAGUUUGAUUUGGUCUAUUUCCAUGCCACUGAGUAGAAAAGUUUGACAAUUGGCUACACCACCUACCUGGAUUACAUGGUUGAAAGUGAAGAUCAGUACAGUGUGAUCACACUUGACCUCUUGUUCCCCAUUCCAGUAUCUAAUUAACCUGACAAAAGUAAAAGGAAAGGAAAAAGGGAAAAAAUAGAAUAAUGUUCAAAUAAAAACGAGAAAAAAUAGCAUAAUGUUGAUGAAUCAUGAUAAGCAUCAAGGCAUGAUAGUGAGAGAGAGGAAAGAAGACAGUGUAAUUUGCAAUCCUGAUAAUCAUUAUAUAGCAGUAACUUUAAUCAUUUUUCUAUCACAGGGAACAUGACACUCAUCUUCCUAUGGAGAUAUUGCAUAAGUUUUUUUCUUUGUAUGUCAACACUAACCAAUGAAGCAUGUUAGCUGGUUUGAAACUGAAACUGUAGCCCUCUGUUUGGUUCUUGAAAAACUUGAGAGAAAAUGGAAGUAAAGUUAAAAGGAAAGAAAAAGUGAAAAAAAAUAAAAAUAGAUUGAAAGUUAACAAAUUAUUUUUACAUGUUCCCUCAAAUUUCUUUCACUUAUUUUUCCUUUUCUAUAUAAAGAUUAAAUGAUUUAAAAAUCAUAAAUUUCUAACUAAUUAUAACUAUAUUUGAUUUUCUUUCAUAUUUUCCAAGAUAAAGUCAGACAUGAGAAAAUCAUUUUCCUUAAAAAAGAAAUUCUUUCCUUUACAGUUUCUUAGAACCAAACCUGGCACAAAAGUCCAAAUUGGGGUUUCUCCAUGUUCCAUUUUUUAUGGCUACCUUUAUGGACCAUAUAAUAUAGAAUGUACUUCUGCAUACCUUCAAGAUCAAGCUGAACUAUAAGAAAAAGACAAGCCAUGGCCCACGGAGCAGGGAUACCAAGCUGCCUUCUCCUAGAUUAAGUUCCAAGAUUUCAGUCUUCAAACCUGCUAAAAGCUAAAGGCAUGUUUCCAGCCUGCGGCAGAUAACAUGCACUGUCCAACAAUAAAUUGCAAACACAUUCGAUGCAGUUUAUUAGUACAAUAAGAUUAAAUCCACCAAAUCUUUUACAGUUCAACCAACACUUGAACUAGUAGCUAGCUUCACUACUGGGUAAUAAUAUAUAAACCAAACUCUUGAUAGGAACCAACCUAUCGCAGAUCGAACUUCUUACAUCCACCAUGAAUUACUGAACCAAAAGAAGAAUCGAAGAGACUGCCAAGGAGGAAAGCCUUCCUAUAACUAGAUAUUUAUAUUCCAAAUUAGGGAGAGCACCCACUGCCCAGGCCUCGCCCAGCAUAAACAGAUAGUAUACAUAUACAUGCAAAAAGCUCCAACCUUCAAGAUUUUAACUAUUAACUUAACACAAUUAAAAAUGUAUCCAAAAAGCAAAUCCCCUUGAACUCCUGAAGCAAUUACUCCAACCAAAUAAAGAUUUUAAGAGUUCCAUGUUCAUAUCCUGCAAGGAAAUCAUUCAAUGUUCAGACCUCUAAUUUCUGUCUUUCUAAAUGCCCAGCCAAAAGGCAUAAAGUAUCAUCCAAAUUGGAUGCACAGCAUAUGUUCUUAAAUCAUGGGAUUUCACCAUAAGUUACUACACUCUAACAGGGCCCAGAAAUUGACCUCCAGAUAUGCCUAUCAAAAAAUUAUCCCCACAUACAUUUUUCUGCUGAAAAGACAAUAUUGUUACAUUUGACAUUCAACCACUACUUGAACUCAACAACCAGGGAAAAGAAUAUAGUAUUUCUACCAAUGAGGAUGAGAGGGGCUGGUGAAUUAACAGGUAAAAGUUUGUUUUGGGUUCAUUGUUUGCAUAAUAAUGUAAAAAUGGAGUAGUAUAUUAUAAAUUAAUGUAAAAAUGGAUUAGCAUAACAUAAAUUGCCAUAAGAGAACCACAAACUACAAAGAAACUUAUUUUCCAAACAAGGAAAAUUAUUCAUAGCCAUUAUUACAUAAGAAAGGAAAUUGAUAAAAUUAUUAUCCAGUUCCCCAUCAGGAAAUAUGAAAGUACUCCUAAAAGCCUCAAUUCUAACCAGAAAACCAUAGAAAUGUAUUAGAAAUAUUGUACAGGGUUCUCUCCAAUAUUAGCUUCAGUUGCUAAGGAGAUCAGAACCUUGAAAGUAAGUCACAAAGGUCGUGUGGGUUUCCCAGAGUCUUCAACAACCAGUAUUCACAUAUGUACACAUUAAAAUUAAAUAAAGCAGGUAUCAAUUCCACAGGCUUUAAGAUUUGAAUUGCUUCUCCCUGGAAUCAUACACCACUCAUAUUGUCACUGACUUUCAAUUACUUCUCCCUGCGAUCAUAUGCCACUCAUAUUGUCACUGCCUUAGGGAACAAAGUGAAAAUCUGCAAUUUCAAUUAAUUCCAACAUAAAAAUAAAAAUCAAUCCUCAAAAAAUGGAUUGCCAGGAGGUAAAUAUAAUAGAAGACGAACAACUCUCACAACCAAGUUAAAGAAACCAGCCGCUAGGUACCUUUGAGUUCUAUACUACCAGGAACAAAUUGGAUGAGAUUAUUUAAAGGCUAUUCCACAGUGGAAAUUCAUUCGUUCAAAAAACAUUUGUCAUGCAUAUAGGCAAUCUAUCCUAUGCAUUCAUACAUCAUGGUCUCAUGCAAUCUUAAUAAAAGUGGUCCUGGAAAAAGAGAGAAAAAAGUAAUUACAAGCCUGUGCGACCAGAUUUCUUUUGUUUUUUUUUUUUUUUUCCUUUGCCAAACAACCAUGUUCAUAGUUUCAGAAGUUCAUUCUGUCUUUAAGAGACCAUGGCAGUGACUUGGCCAUUCAGCUAAGANNNNNNNNNNNNNNNNNNNNNNNNNNNNNNNNNNNNNNNNNNNNNNNNNNNNNNNNNNNNNNNNNNNNNNNNNNNNNNNNNNNNNNNNNNNNNNNNNNNNUCACCAAGGACUCCUCAACCUCAAAAUAAUAGAGAAAGUCUAGGACACCAUGUCACUACUGAGGACAACCCAACACCACAACAUUUCAGUCCGUUCAAAAAGAGUAAUUGGAAUUGUUGCAAAAAAUGUUCAACUAGUCCCAACAGGAGGCAAAUUCCUCCAUUUCUUCAUCGGGUCCGGAUCCUUUGCUCAAAAAGGUAAUUUUCUUACUGCCCUAAAAGAAAAAGGGAAAAUGUGAGUCAUUGGAUUGUUGACUCAGGAGCUUUUGAUCACAUGACUAGAGUGCCACAAUUUUUCAAAAUUAUACACCUUGUUUUGGGGAUGAUACAAUUCGUAUGGCUGAUGGUUCUCUCUCAAAGGUGACUGGUACAAGUUUUAUUGUCAUCUCUAAGGACCUAACUCUUGACUCUAUUCUUUUGGUUCCAAACUUGGAUUGCAAUCUAUUGUCCAUUAGUAAACUCACUUAUGAAAAGAACUAUGUUACUAAAUUUUUCCCAAACCAUUGUGUUUUUUAGAAUUUGAAUUCGGGGAAGACGAUUGGCAAUGUUGAAGUGUGUUUAGGACUCUAUGCCUUCAAAGUGAAUUAUUAUAUUGAAAGACAAUCUUAACCAACAGUUGGUGAAAAAUGGUGUCUUUUUGUCUUUAGUUCUAAUAAAGAUAGUGAUGUUAUGUUAUAGCACUAUUGUCUAGGACAUCCUAGUUUCUUAUAUCUCAAAAAACUCUUUCCAUGGUUUUCAGUGUGAAAUUUGUCAACUAUCCAAGCAUCUUUGCAAGCCCUAUCCAUAGUUUUAAAAGACUUAAGGCACACCAAGACGCAAAGUCCUCUUGGAGCCUUAGGCGCAAGGCACACCUAAGGCGCGAACUUUAGUAAAGUGAGGUGCAUCCUGUUUUACAUAUAUAUUUUUAUAUAAUACAAUCAAGUGCCCGAAAAUUUUCCUCUAAUUUUCCCCUUCUUCUUCAUCCUCUUCUCUUCUUCACAUUGUUCGGGAGGCUAGGACAUUUUUUUUUUUUUACAUGUCUAAAACAAGCAUAUAUUGGGUUUUGGAAGAAGAACAAGCCAAAAUGACAUCGUUUUGGAGCCUAAUCUUUUAAAUAAAUAAAUAAAUAAAUAAAAACCAGCCAAAAAUGACACCGUUUUGGCCCCUGUUCUUUUAAAAGAACAAACCAAACAACGUCAUUUUGAUCUCAGGAAAUUAAAAAAACAAAACCCUCGUCAUUCUCCCUUUGCUACUCUACAACUCAUCGUCAAAGGGUAAAAAGAUGACCAAAAGAAGAAGAAGAAAAAAAAAAAACGACGACAGAGGAUAGAGGUGCACCUGUUGAGGGCGUUGCGCCUAGCCAAGAGGCGAGCGCCUUGCACACUUAAUCAACGCCUCUGUGAAGGGGCGGCUCCUGCAAUCAGGCGAAGCGCUGAAGGGUGAUGUCACAUCGUCUAGAGCCUAGGCGCACCUUUCACAACUAUGACCCUAUCCAACUCAACCAUACAAACCAUCUCAUCUUUUUUCCAUACAUAGUGAUGUUUGGAGGUCAUCUAAAAUAAAGAACAUAACAGGGACUAGAUGGUUGAUGAUCAUACUAGAAUUUCUUAGAUAUUUCUAAUGAAAAAAAAAUCAAAAAUUAGUCAAAUUUUCUAAAAGUGGACCAGAAUUUCUUUAUUGAAUUAAAAAGUUGAAAUUAAUAUUUUGGAAAAGUUAGGGCCGCUCAAGAGGUAGAAAUAGCGCUCGAGUGGUAGAAAUAGCGCUCGAGUGGUAGAAAUAGCCCUCAAGUGGUAGAAAUAGCGCUCAAGCGCUAGGACCGCUCAAGCACUUAACUAGCGCUUGAGCGCUCAUAUAGAAUCUGCCAGAAUAUGGAAGAAUAUUUUUUGGAUAAUCAUGAAAAUUGGAUUUGGAAACUUUAGAAUAUCAAUCUCCUUCGGCCUAGAGGUUUAUAUAAACCCUAUUAUAACCCUUUAGGGUUAAGAAAUUCACCAAGUGGUUUACCCUAACUUGUCAUACCAUUCCCGAUCUCUCAUCAAGGAAUCAAAGUGUUUAAUCUUGGGUUGUUUGAAGACCUGCAUCCCUUCAACAAGGCUAAGGUGUAUUCACUAGAACAAUUGAAAUUGUUGCAUUGCGGACAUGAAUCAAGUUGCAGGUUCUAGAGAGUAAGUCUUUAGAAUAAAGCAGACAAAGAGUUCUAUGUGACUUUAUCUCAUAUAGUGGAUUUAGCUUUGAGGUCUUAGACCUCGUGGGUUUUUAUCUCCAUAGUUAGUGUGGGGGUUUUCCACAUAAAAAUUAUUGUGUCUCUUGAUCUUAUGUUUGAUUUUAGAUAUUCUAUUUAUCCCUGAUAUCUCACAGGUUAACUUUAGGUUAAAAAUUCAACUCCCUAUUUAAUAAUUUUUAAAAUACACCCAUUCACGAGUGUUAUCCUACUGGACAUUGGUUUUUCACCAUAUAUAACACUCAUACCAAAACCCAUGCAACAUGGACUCCAACCUUAAGCUUAACUUUCUACGAAUGGAAAAAAAAAAAGACAUAACAUAAAUAGACAGAUUUAACAACAUGCUCCUAAUCAAGGUGAAUGUCCCUCUUUUUGAAAGAUAUGACCUUUUCCAUACGAGGAGCUUUCUUUAAAAUUUCACCUCUACCAAUUCCCAUGCCUUUACAAAGUUGUGGAAAGCUCCAAAGAGAAGGCCCAGACAUGUAAUGGGUAGAUUCCCUACCUUAGAACCUUACACCAAAGCUAAACCCCUAAUAUUUGUGACUUCUAUAAGAAUCAAUUCAUUUUUUUCCAUAUUUAUUUCUAAAUCAGACAUUGCCUCAAACCACAUGAAGUUAUAACUUGGAUGUUACAGAUGCUCUUAAUUAGUGUCACAAAAAAAUAGGGUAUCAUCAUCAAACAAGAAAUGUGACACUUCCAUCCCCUCCUCCUGUCUUCCUCCCACUUUGAAACUUGAGAUGUAACCCCUUUUAUCUAAUUCUCCUCAAAAUUCAAUUGAAAGCCUUCAUUGCCAAUAUGAAAAUGUAAGGGGAGAGAGGAUCUUUCUACCUCAAAUCCCUUGAGCUCUCAAAGAAACUGAAUAGGACACUAUUUACUAGAAUAGAGAAUUGAGUAGUGGAAAUGAACCAUUUGAUCCACCUCACCCACUUAUGAUCAAAGUCCAUUUUAUCCAACAUCAUUAACAAAAAGUUCCAAUUUACAUGGCCAUCGUCCUUUCCAAUGUCUAACUUGCAAAUUACCCCACUAUUGGGACUCUUUAACCUUGAAUCUAGAGCAUCAUUUAUGAUUAGAACUGCAUCUAGAAAUUGUCUGUCUUCCACAAAAGCAUGCAAAUAAACUAAAACUAUUUUACCCACCACAUUUUUUAGUCUUUUAGCCAAGACUUUUUCCAAUAGCUUGUACAAAAAAACCCCCAACUAAGCUAAUCAAUGUAAAAAAUUUUAGGUUCUCUGCUGCACCUAUAUUAGGGAUCAAGACCAAGAACAUGACAUUUAAAUUUUGCUCAAAGGAACAAUUAUCAAAAAACUCCCCAAGCUCAUUUGCCAAAAUAUUAUAAUAAAUCCAUUUGGCCCCUACAGCUUUAUCCCCACUCAAGCUAGACAAGGCAACAAGAAAUUCCUCAUCAAAGAAAGGUAACUCCAAUUUCCUAGAAUCAGCACAUAGCAUAACUUCAAAGGUCAUCCCAUUAAUGUUGAGUCUCCACUCGCCCAUAUCAGAUAGGAGAUUUUGGAAGGCCCUAAACUCCCCUUCCUUUAUAUUUGCUUCCCAAGCAACCAUUUUGCAUUCACUCAAAUUUUAAACAUGAAGUUUUUUAUUCUUUGGGCAUUGACCAUUUCAUGGAAAAUUUUGGUGUUUUUAUCCACCCCCUCUUUUAACCAAAUUUCUCUUUAUUUUUGCCCCCAUACAUAUAGAUUCUUCUAACAAGGCCCACUUGCUAAACUCAAUCACCACUAACCUUUGGCCUCAACGAUUUCAAGAGAUAAGGUAACUGCUCUCUACUUUGAGUCCCAGAAGUUGAUCCAGUUUAGCACCUCUAGGUUUUUUGUUGAGACAUUCCCAAAACCUUCUUCAUUCCAAGAUUUUAAAUCUCGUUUGACAGCCUUUAGUUUAACUUCCAAAAUAUGACCAUACAAGCCAUCCACAUUAUAACCAUCAACCAACUCCUCACAAAAUCUUUUAAGCCUUUUGUUUUAGGCUACAUAUUUUAAAAUGUAAACUGUGUUUUCCCACUCCUUAUCCUACCUCCAUCUAAAACUAUGGGGUAAUGACCAAAAAUUGGUUUAGGUAAAAUACUCUAGAUUAAAGUAGAAAAACGAUUCUACCAAUCAUCUGACACUAGGAAAUGGCCAAGCUAGCCUUGAAGAAGACAAAAGAUUAUGAACACCACUCCAAGUGAAUAGCCCUCCAACUAGCGAAAGAUCCCAAGGUCAAGUCCUCUAUGUCCUCUGAAAAGAACCUCAUAUCAAACAACAUUCUAAGGCAAUUCCUCCUUUUCAUGGGGAACUUGACCAUAUUAAAAUCCCCUCUGAAGCACUAGAGGUCAUCCCAAAGGCCUCUUAUGGCACCCAACUCUACCCAGAAAUCCACUCUUUCUCCCCUUUAAACCAACCCAUAAACUCUUACGUAUACCUAGACAAAGCUAUCUUCACAAUUCAUAGACAAGCAAUAGAGAAUGCUUCCACCUCCUUACCAAUUAACUCUAAUACCCUACUAUCUUGGAAAACCAAAAUGCCUACUAUCAAGCUUCUAACUUCCAAUACCAUUUCAAAAAUUUUCCUACUCCUAAACUCCUUACCAGUUGAACGAACAUCUAUCGAACCUUGGUUUCUUGUUAACAAACUAGAUCAACCCCUUGAGACCUUAUCAAUGACUUUAUUAUCAUAUACUUUUCCUCAUCAUUUGCUCAUUUGACAUUCCAAGACAGGAUUUUUAGCUUCAUCAUGCAACCUAUGUUGGAUCCUAACUGCUACUCUUGGAGCCCUUUUCCUUUUUGUUGAGCUUUUAUAAUUGACUAAGCAUCCCAACUUGUUGAGGUCCCUCUCAAACCAAGAUAUCGAGGUUAACUUCCUCUUCACCUCCAACGAAAAAACAGAAACCCCUCUCCUUAGCCUGCCACACAAGGGAAAAGAUCUCUUUUUCAAAUCCAUCAACUGGCAUUCUUGAGAAACUAUUGAAAUUUGCCAACUUACAAGAUAUACAAUUGGAGGAGUGCUUCUCUACCAAACAACUACUAAAAUUCACCUCAAAGGUGACCUUUUCCCCUGAUCUCUCCCCGGCCUCCAUACCCACUGACCCUUUCACAAAAUUUUCUAGAAUUUCCACUAUCAAGCCGUUACGGAGAACCAUCCUCAACAAACUCCUUUGACUAAUGUGAAAAACCCCACCCAAGAGCAUCUUCCAGAAGUUAACUUACAAGAUUAACUAUAAUCUUGUGAAGACUCGUUACCUAAUGGGUAAAAAAUUUGAAAUUCUAUUAGUAUAAUUCUUUUUAGGCACAAAAGCUGUGAAAAUAGCAUUGGUGCUCUAAUUAAUAACCCCAUAAUUAUUAAGCAAUAAAACAACUUUUAAUAAAUUCUCUUUCACCACAUCCCACCAAUCCUAAUGCAAAAAAGCUAGGAAAAAGUCAUCAUUGCUCUAAGCAUUUCUCCUCACUAGUUGAAAGACUGCUUUAUGAACUUCCUCUUCGACAAAAGGACAAUCCAACCAAUUAGCACCAUUUUCCAAAAUGAGAGACCAACCCCCACUCUUCUAUCCUCUAAGGAUCUUCAUAUAACCAUUAAUGCCUUUCUAUACCAGCUAGUAUAUAUCGGGUUUUGGGCAAGUCCUAUAAAUUGGUUUGAGUAAGAUUUUUAAUUACCCUGUUCUUUCUUUUUAGUUGAUAAAUAUGCAUAUAUGUAGUAAUUCAUACAUCAGAAAAGAUUUUGCUAAAACAAAAGAAUUGACAUGCAGAUAGUGACUUCUUGAUAAGAGUAAUAGCUUAAGGGAGGAAAAUGAACUCCUCCAGUGGCCCCAAAGUGGUAAGUUCCUUCAGAUCCCAUGUUGCUAUUCUGCAUUUCUUUGUGUUUUGGCAUCAGCCCUCUUAAUUAAUUCACUAUCCAGCUUCUCAAAUUCCUCGGAUUCUUCCCUUGUUCUUGUGGAAACAUCUGCAUCUUGUCCUUGCAUUGUUAUGGAUUGGUGAUUAUCAUUCUUUGAGAACUGUGUGGCAGCUGCUCGUGCACCAGCUAUGGCUGCAAGGAGACCUUCUGGUUUCUUGUCUUCAGCAGCUUUGGAGCCAUCAAAGCAAGAAACAAGUAAUCCUGGUUUCAAAGAGAGGGGAUCUUGUGGUUCUGGAAGCAGAAACUUGACAGGUAGUGGAGCUUGAACAGGACGAAGACCCCUAACUGCUGCCUCAUAUAUCUGCAACAAUUUCAGGGGGGAUAAGUAAUUAAAAAUCAGUCACUCUAUUGCAUUAGUUAGACUUGCUUUCAAUGCGAUAGCAAAGAAAGAAUCAUCAAUGAAAAAAGAAAAAAUAAAUGAAAAAGAACAAAAAGGAGAGGGAAAAAAAAAUGAUGGGUGCUCAAUUUGUACUUUUCUUUCCAGGUUAUAAAUACGUUGGUACCCGCGCAUCUCAAAUGGUAUGAUUAAUUUCUGCAUCAGGUCAGGAGAACUAAGUCCAUCAAUAUACUAAAAAGCAAAUAUACCAAAAGGCAAGCAAAAAUGUUUAACCAUCUUGAGUGUCAAACUCUCCAAGAAACUAUAUACUUUUAGCUGAAUGAAAACACAUGCCUGUGGUUGCUCACAGAGCCAGCAAAACUCUGUUUGCGCUUCUAGCCUUACCUACAAAUAGAGUUUAGGUUAUCCAACCAAAAUGGAGAUACAUCACACAAAACAAACUGUACCUAAUCAGUUUACGAAGGGGACGGGGGGAAGCAAAAAGCAAAAGUAAAUUUCUAAGAUGCCCACCCCUUCAGGUACCUCCUUCCAGCACGCCAGCUCUUCACAUUUAACACAACCAACUACUUCAAUACAACCUGUGGCAAGAAUAGAGUUUGUUGGAUUUAUUGUAGCAUGCCAUACAGAAAAAUUUAGCAUUUCAGUAAGAAUAAGAAUAAGAGAGCUACUUUCCACUAAAAUACGAAUCACCCAUCAACUGUUGCAAACAGACAACAAUGUGAAUAACAGGUUUUAUAUAUAUAUAUAUAGAGAGAGAGAGAGAGAGAGAGAGAGAGAGAGAUAGAUAGAUAUAGAGAGAGAGAGAGAGUCAAAUAAUAAUAAAGGACAAAAAUAUUUCUUUGAGAAAGACUAAUUAGAAAGAAGAAACAAAGAACCCACAUGAAAUCAAUUUAGAUAAGAGAAAUACCUUUAAGAAUCUAGUUCUUUUUGCAAAUUGCAACUUAGAAUUGGAAUGCCACAUAUUAUUAUAAGGUAUCACAAGAGAUUAUUGCUUCAUUUUUUUUCUUUGCCAGAUCAGUUUUAAUAAAUAUAAAUAUAAAAAUAUAAGCAUGUACACACACACACGCAAACACAUUAUGUGUGUAUGUUUAUGGAUAUGUAGAUAUAGGUUUUUAAUAAUAGAGCAUGAAAACAUAUCUAGUCAGAAAUUCCAAAAAUCCAAAACCAUUAGCAACACCUAACAGUCUUGAAACUGGGUAAUGUUCUGGAAACUUGAGGUCUGCUAUCCCAUUCACAGCAUAGAUCUCCCUGUAGAAAUUCUCCAUUGCUUUGAUUGUGUCUGAAUCUGGGACCUUACUAGCAGCAUGAAUCCAGAGUCGGCCUUCAUAAAACAAAACAUGUAUAUUAAGAAAUAUCCUUGUAGAACAGUAACAUUUUUGCCAGCAUGCAAUUCGUGUUAAUAAUCCUUGGUUCUCACCACUCAUUGUACAUUACAAUGUAAAGACCUAAUAAGCCCUAAUAUAGGUAGGUGUCUGUGCAGAGAGAGAGAGAGAGAGAGGGGAGGGGGGUGAAAGGAAAGAUGAUUAUAGAACAAAUACAAGUUGAAUCUCCUGAAAUAAUGUCCAUCAAGUUAUUUCCUAGCAACAAGUACUGAUUAUGCUUUUCCUGAUAACAUGAUUUUCUUUGCUAACAACCAUACUAUAUUUUAUCAAGAAAGAGUAGUGCAUGUGGCGUGCAUCAAGACCCAUUAGAGUUCCGCUAAACCUAUAGUUCUGUCAACGUUAUCAUUUACGUUUCCUCUAGAUAAUGGCAUUUUCCUCUAAAACUCUUGCACCAUUAGGCUUCAAGUCAAAAUUUCACAUGUGAACUUUGGAAAUUUUCUCCAUUUGCCCCUAAGGAUACAGUUAGAAUUGACUUAAAAUCCUGAUUGAUGUAUACUUUUAACCGAAGAAUAUUGUAUAUAAUAAUUGAAAUAUUGUUGAUUCAUCGUGGAAAUACAUUUUGUAAGGAAAGUUGUUAAGAAUUUAGUAUGCUAUAUGGAGAAAAAAGUCAUGACUUAAGGUUGAGUAUGUAUAUUCUAUAUCAAAUAUUAGGUAGGAAUGUGGAAAAGAGCAGAGUGUAAUUAUAAGAAACAAAGAAAUAUAAGAUAUUCUUGAAAGUGGAAAAUGUAAAAUGGCUAAAAGUCAAAUUUAUGAUGCAUAAGGGGGAUCAUGUCACAUAAGAAACUCAUGGCAUACCAAAUACGUGUGGUAUGGAGUAACAAUUUUGUUAAAAUAAGUUUCUCGUUGGAGUACAUUAGGUGACAAUUUUUUAAUAUCAAAUUAAAGAGUCAAGUGCAUCAAUGAAGUCAUAUGUAGAAAAUUUGUUUGUGACAUGUACCAUAAAGAUAAGAUUGACUUGAUAUAAUUUAGUCCAGGUAGGAGUUGUUAAAGGUGUCUCAAAUUUCUAAUUGAUAUAUAUUUUUUUCUAAAAAAAUAUUAUAUAGAUAUUUCAAUAAAUGAUUAAUUCUUUGUAAAAAUACUUACAUAAUAAAAAACAUCAUUAGAAAUAUCUCUAUAAAUAUUUUAAAUCACAAAAAGAAAAAAAAAAUCACUAUGAGAUAAUUAUAAACAUGCAACAUUGUACCAAGUAAACAGAAAUGUGAUAAAAAAAUUUUGAGAAACACUAAAUAAAGGAAGGGCUUGUAUAUCAAGAUGUAAAUAUAGAGAGCAAUAUUUUUAAUCAUAUGAUAGAAUUAUUUUCUCUCAUUCAUGAUUAUAAGCAAAAUUGGGAACCAUUAUAAAAUCUUGUACACCUCGUGUAAAUUGAUGUUUGUCUUCAUAUUUUACACCAACAAAUGACAUUGAAGUUGUCAUUGAUAAAAGGGAAAAGGCAUGGCCUCCACACCAUGUGCUUGAAUCGUAUGGUUCAAGUUUAAAGAAUUUUCUCCAUAAUUUGAAGAUCUAAAACAUUUUCACCUUUAAAUUUCAUUUAAUUAUUAAUAUCUACAAAAAAUAGUUAAAUACUCUUUCUAUUUUUGAGUUGUUGAAUUUUUUGAAAGUUUUUAUAUUUGUUAUCAAGAAUUUAUAUUUUAUUAAGUGUGAAUAUUUAUAAAUAAGAUAUUAUAUAAUAUUUGGAUAAGAGAGAAUGGUGGAAUAUAAUAAAGUUUUAAUCCUUCCCAAUUUUUAUCUUUUUUUUUUUUUUUUUUUAUAAUCGCCUUUCUCUUUCAAUCCUAUUAUCAGGUACCUUAUAUUUGCUGAUGCUAUCUGGAACUAAAUUCCAAUCAGACAUUGUCCAAUUACUAAUAGGACAGAUCAUGUCUCUCUGUUUCUAAACUAACAUGUAUCGUAAUGUGGCCUCAUAAGGAAGGCUAGGAAGAUGGAGGAUUUUGUGGGAAGCGACCAGAAUCAGAUGGAAGAGAGAUAGCCCUGUUGACCUAAUGGCUGUAAUAGGAGAAGCGUGUGGAUUUAUGGGACUUAACUGAUACUAAACCUAUAUGAUGCUUGGAGUGGUGUUUCUUUCAUUUUGUUAAGAAAAUAUGGCAGCAUACAUCCUUUCAAUUGAGUGCAUCAGAGCAUCCAUAAUAGAUGGUCUGCAACCCUAGGUGCAUGCCACUUUCUGACUGAUAAUGAAACUGUCAGGUACUUGGCCUUGACUAAGCUCAACAGCAUCACAUAAAAAGAAGCUUUCAUACUUAGAUUACUGUUUAAAGCUUUUGCUUAUUUGCUUUCUUAAUGCCAUUAUGACAUUAUUGUUUCAAUUCUGCUACCGAUUUUCGAAGUUCUGGGCAUCUACUGAUUGCAUCAUUAUAUGAGAAGUUGCAUGAGUUUAUGUAUCCUGUUAUUGCUCCUUUGCGAUUUCACUGCUCACGGGACUAACCUCUCCAUUCAGUCGAAAUGAAUUGUAAUUUCUUUACUGGUAGCAGUAGUACUUUUCAUAGCAAAGAUAAUAGUAAAUAUGAAAUAUAAAUAGAAGGAAAUCUGAAUUGUAGAUGGCACUAUAAGUAACACUCAAUAUUCACUACAUAAUAAAAUAGACAGUGUUACAAAGGUAGAGAAACCUACAAUGAGUACUCAUCACCAUUCUCAAACAGAAACAUAGCAGCGACUUAUACAUAGAACCUAUAGGCUUGCAGGGAAAGAAGGGAAAGAGUAACAUGAUAAGUUCACAGCGGGUAGCAGCUCUUAUUUUACGUAUUACUCAAAAUCUCAAACUAACCAAAGUCACUCAGUUGGGAUGGGUAGGAGAUGGUGGUUUGUGGGGUGGCUUCUGGGUAGGAGCUGGUGGCUUCUUUGUUGGAGUUGAAGGAGGCGUAAUCUUCUGAGGUGGCUUGUAUGAGUCUUCGGCACUCUCUGCAGGAGGGUGCCCAGGGUUGUGACCGGAAGGAGGUGGCUUCUGUCCCUUUGGUGGUUUGCCUAAUGGGCUUGGUGGCUUGUGCUCCGGGAGUUGUUUCUCUCCCUCGAGUAGGUUUCGAGUUUUGUCAGAUGGCUUGUGUUCUGGUGGUGGCUUCUCUCCCUGGGGUGGUUUGCCGAAUGGGCUUGGUGGCUUGUGUUCGGGGAGUGGCUUCUCUCCCUGGAGAAGGUUACGAGUUUUGUCAGAUGGCUUUUGUUCUGGUGGUGGCUUCUCUCCCUGGGGUGGUUUGCCAAAUGGG